rnacentral:lncRNA from 1 species
CUUUUUUUUUUUUUUUUUACUUUUAACAAAUUGAUCCAAUUUUGAUUCCAUCUACAAAACCUCAAACAUUUGUAUGCGUUGAAACUCUUUGUUUAGGACAGAAAGAUGGAGAAUCGAUCUUAUUCCAAUAGUACAUAAUUUAUUUUAUUUUUUUCUUCUUUUGACUAAAAUUUGUAUGUUACAUUCUCUUUUAAAGAAAAUUAUGUGCAAGUUGCCUCUUGAAUUGUUGCCUUCAUAAACUAAUUUACUUUUUUUUAAAAGUAAACACUUGAAAUUAAAACUCAUAUGCCAUACAAGUUAUUUUGGUUGAAUUCCUAUUCUAAAAACAAAAUCAACUUUUUACCCUGACUUUACUUUGAAAACAUUGUUAAAAUGUGAGUAGCAAAGUAGAAGCAAGGUUUAUAAAUUUAAUUUUUAAAAAUCAUAAUUAUUAAAUGAGGUUUUUAUUACUUCUUUUUUAUGUUUCUAAAGUUAAUAUUCCAAUCUCAUCCUUUCAUUUUUUUUUCCAACACCAACUGUAUUAUUGAUGCAAAAUUUCGCCCAAGUAGCUUGUGUUAUGCCUAGACACUUUGAUGUCUAAGUCGUUAUCAUUUGAUGAUCAAGUUAAAUUAAAAGUGAGGUGAAAGAGUAUUGAUGUAAUACUUUAGUAAAGAGAUUGAUCCUUAGUUUUAUAUGUUUCUUUCACUUAACCCUAUAAAAUUUUCUAAUAUUCAUAUAAUAUCGUAUUUCCUUUAUUCACACUAUAAAUUUGUCUUCACACAUGUUGGAAAAACUCUAUUCUACAAUAAAUUGAACCUACGUGAAAUAUAAAAUCUUAGAAUCCGUUUGGAUGUACUUAAAAAAAAUGUUUUUAAGAAACUCGUUUUUAUUUAAAAUGAGUGAAAAUGGUUUAAAAUACACUUCAAGCUAUUCUAAGUGGAUAUUAAGCAUACUAGUUUUCUUUAAAAUAACUUAUUUUUUAAAUUAAACACUUUGAAAAUAUCUUUCAAACACAUCGCAUGUUAGUCAGUUGUUACUAAAAUGUCUCUCAAACACAUCGCAUGAUGUUACUAAAUUGUCUUUCAAACAAAUCGUAAGUUAGUAAGUUGUUCUCCUCAACCAUGCCUCUUAGGCCAUUUGAAAUAAAAGCCUUUUGAGUUUCUAUAUGGGCUUUAGGUCUCAAACAUAGAAAUAAAAUUCAAAAUAUUAGUAUAUAUAACGAGCAUAAUUGUAAGUACACUAAAAUUUAUCAAUGAUAGAUAAAUAUAGCAAAGUCUAUCGUUCCUAAAAUGGCUACUCUUAUCAUAAUUACCUCUUCCUUUAUCUAUGAGUAUUUCUAAGUACAUCCAACAACAAAAACGAAUGUAAAGGCCGUCUACUACAUCCAAUUUUAAAAGUUAUAUACGUAGUGUUUAUUUUAUACACCAAAUUUAAUUAACAAUAAUACAGCCAAAAUUAAUUAUAAUGUGUUAAUUAGUUAAACUAUGUAGCUUCCCUAAACUUUAAGUCAAAUUUUUACUGGAUUGUGUAGGGUUGGUAUUCAUCGUCUUAAUAUGUUUAGUUAUGUCAUAAACAUCUUUGGAAUUUAAAAAUUAAGAACACUUUGGUUACUUGAAUUCUAAUAACGAAAUCUAAAACACUUGAAAUGAAUUCAACACAACUCCAAUAAGAGUUAAAGAAGGUUAAUUUUGUGAUCGAUGAUGAUGCAAGAAUAAUUAUUUUUCUUUGUAUACUCCACAAGUAAGUUGAUCGAUUUUACCUAAAUGCUCAAACAUGAAAACAUAUAUAAUAAAAAGAUGCAAAAAUAUGAAUGAUGAAUUUAUGUCAUCACAAUACAAUUGAUUCCCAAAAAUAAAAUAAAAAAUCCAAAAGUAUAUCGUGUAACCUAUAAUAACUGAAUUUGACUACAUUCUCUAAUACCCUGAGUCCCUCUCCUACACUUCUAAUGGCUUAAAACUUUCGUGCAUUUAUCUAUAUGCAUGCAUCUUUGAGAUGAUCAAUACCAAAUAACUUCGUAUAUUGUGAGUUAUUCUCACUUAAAUGAUAAUAUAGUAUUAGACUCCUACAAAACUUGUCAAUUGCAAAAUAUUAAAAAAAAAAAAAAAAAAGUUACACUGAUAUGCAUACAUUUCAAAAGAGAAGUCAUGUUCUUAUUAGCUAAACUUCUAGAGUUUCAACAUAAAUAAUUAAGUUAAAUUCGCCGUGGACAACGUGAAACCUUGCCUCGUCCUUGAGAAAGAAAGUAUUAUACGUGAAAAAUCCAAGUGAACGUCGAAGGAAAGACUUUAUAACAGUGAUAGUCUCAAGAAGGUCAAUAAGUAAUUCCAACGACAAACCCUAAUAAACUCUCACCAUGCUUGGAUGAUCUUUCAUUUUACUUAGUGAUAGCAGCUAGAAGGAGUACUCUCGCAUAGAUGAACAUCAAAUUAAGACAAAUUCAAAUAUAUUCCAUCAUAAAGUACACAAAAAAAAAAAAAAAAAAAACGGAGAAAUCAAAUUCAAUUCAACUCCCAUUUUUACUCGCACUAUUAUGCCGCCGAUUAAAUCUUUCAAAGAUGCCAUGAAUUGCAAUAUCAAAAGCAUCCUCAAUACUUUCCAAUCCUUCAAGAGCACUCGCAUAAACAAUUUUUGGUAUAGUCUCGAUGACUUUCUCUCGCAUCAUCUUCACUCUCUCUCCGCUAAAUUUCUCCAACACUCCUUUAAUGGACGCCGAUCCAUUCCUCACCUCCUUGUUAUCUAUAAAAACAGAAUAACUCCCCGGUUCACCCGGCAAGAACCAUUCAUACUGCCCGUAUGCGGUUCUCUCCCAAAAGAUAACCGGAAUUGAACCGGCCAACAUACAAUCAAACACCGAUUUUCUCGAAUACGAAUCGCCUUUCGGCUGUAAACAGAAAUCUGAGUCCAAAAACGUUUCCAUAACCACCGAGUCACCACUCGCGCACCGGUUCCCAUUGCACUCCACGGCUCGGCACGAACCGCCCGAGUCGUUGGCGCAGUAACUCAGUAAAAAAGCUCUAAAGUCGUUUUCUAUUUCAUGACGUGUACCGCCAGCGAAGCAGAAGAGGUUUGUUCGGUUACGUUCACGAACGAAGCUUUGCCAAUUUAACACGUCAGCGUCGGAUCUAGGGUGGAAUCCUGUGGGGAAAGGUACCCCGAUGUCUAAUGGAUCGGACGGUUCUCUCUCGACGACUAACCUCGCUACGUUUUUCAUCCCUAGCAUGAAUGCAAAGCUGGACCCCCAUUGGUUGUUCCCCCAUCGUUUAAAGUCCCAUGUCAGCCGUCCUAAUGUGAUGAAAUGAUCUCCGCCGUUGGAUCUAUUCCAAUACGGCUCAUUCUGGACCCACUCGAUUAAUUUCUCUGAGUCCCUAUCGCGAUCAGAAGUAGUGUAAUUCAGCCAUAAGUACCGUCCGAUGGAGAGACCAGCGUAAAACGGUAUGUAGAAGGCUGUAGCUGAUUCCGGGUCUAAUGUUCUACACUUAUAGUUAAGAAUACGAUUAUGCAUAAUCGGUUCCAACAUGUACUGUUCAGACCAAAACCACGCCGGAGUUAGACCGUCGGGAACAACACCGUUGAGCUCCGUUGCUUGCCGUCCGAACCCUCCGUUGGACACAUCAUCACAGCGGGAGGUCCAUGGGUCUAAGGACUCACAAUUUUGCAACAAGUCUUUGUUGAAAAAGGGUGGGAGGUCGUAGACGAACACUCUGCCGGAGUUACAUGGGUCUCUGGCGACGGUGAUGGAGGAUUGGCGGCCGUCGCUAGCAGCAGCGAGGGAGAGUGGGGCAGAGGGAGAAGUGGUGUUGAAGAUGAGGUAAAUUUGUAAAAAGAUGAGGGUUAAAAUAAGGAUCCAAUAUGAGGGAUAAUAAUAUCGUGUGAAGAAGAAUUUGGGCGAAUAGGCAUUGAGAUUAUUCUUAAAAUCCAUUAUAAUAAUGUAAAUGGAAUUGGGUUUAGAGAGAACAGAGAAAUUUGUGGAGUGGUGUGGUGUGGAGGGAAAUGUAAUGGUUUAUAGAGACAAAAUUGAAUAGAGAAUGUAUAUGUUUCGUAAUUAAUUAAUUAAGUAUGUGCAUGAUUCCUUUCUUCUGUUGGGAUAAAAUUUCAAUGUGCUUAAGUUGGAAAAGAAAAAGGUAUAGUUUAAUUGUGUUUUAUUAAAAUGAACAAAAAAAACUUAUUCAAAACAAAUAAGAGAUUGAAAUCCUUCCUUAAUAUCAUAGCCGUUGUUUGAGCCCAAAAGUUCGGCCGCCGGAUCUAAUCGAUAAUUUUUCGCUUUAGUUAGUUUUCGUACCUUUCAAUAAUUUUGUUACUAUUUUAUACAUUUAAUAUUAACCAAAAGUUUUUGCAAUUUCGUUCCAUCCACGAAAACAAUUUUUUUUUCUUUUAAAAUUUUGUCAUCUUUACAGUUUUAUAUUCUGAUACAUGAAGUUGGACGUUGAUUUAAAAGUGCUUUUUUGUUUUUGUUUUGUUUUCUUUUUAUAUAAUUUAAUUUAAUUUAUGUUUUAGUUGUGAGUGAUAGAAAAUUAGAGAUUGUUUUACUUGGGGAAACGAAGUUUAGAGUUUGCCUUUAGCUUAGAUUGUUAAGAUUUUAGUUGCUAUACAGUAACGUUUACCUUAAAGAUAUGAGUGUGUGUAUAAAUUAGCAUUAUAAUUAUCAAAGAAUUAGAGUCUUCGCAACAUGAUUAAGGACACGUGGCUUCUUGGGAUUGCUUGCUAUAGUUUUGUAUUAUAAGAGUGUGCGAAUUUUGAUUUACAUAGGAAAAGUAAUUUAUAUGCUAUAUAUACAUAUAUUAUACAGUUGGAUGGUUGAAUCUAUGUAUAUUAUAUGUUCGUCGACGAAUCUACGUAUAUUAUAUGUUCGUCGACUAUAUUAUGUAUGUAAGUAGCAAUUGCAUUUCUAAAAUUUCUUAAAUGGAAAUUUUAAAUAUAAUAUUUGAAAUUCAAACACUUUUGUCUAAUCUAUAUAUUUUAACCUUACUAAGUUACGGUUUCUUUAAAACAAUUUAGAUGGAUUUAUAAAAUGCAAUUUAAAAUUUAUUAAGAGGUUAUUUACACAAACCUUGUGAGCAUUUAAAAAAAAACUUAAAAAACUUAUCGAUUAAUUUGUAAUUUUAACCUUUGGAAUAACAUAGGGAUAUGUGUAUGUUUUUUUUAGGGGGAGCUAAAGGUAAAAAUGUUUUUGGUUUUUUUUUUUUAAUAUUAUUCAUAACAAUUUCUUUUAGAAAAGUUACCAUUUAGGAUUAUGUAGAUGAAUACUGUAGUUUGAAAAAUAAAAGGAUAAAAAUUGUUUUAUAUAUAUAUAUAUAUAGUUUAAUUUGUGUUUUAAUGGACAUUUUAAGUAUAGUUAGUGUAGGGUCAAUGUGUAUUUUUUAGAAUGAAUUGAGCAAAAUUGAUCGUUUAUACACUAAUUCUGUCAUCAAAUAGGUGUGGAGAUUUGAACCACAAACAUUUUGGUCUCAACACAUACAAACAUCAAAUCAACUAAGCUAUUGUUGAUAUCUUAAUAGAUAUUUGUUUGUAAAUUAAGUCACACAAAUACUUCUAUCUAAUAAACUAGGAUUUUUUAUUGUGCUAAUAUGAAUAGAGUAAAUAUAAUUGUUACAAGUCAUGAUAUGUAUAGAAAUAAAUGGAUGUUUUAUGUUCGAAAAAUUGAAACCAAUUUCCGCCAUCAAAACCAAACAAAUUUUCUACCGUCGUUUCAAAACUAUCUAUUUCGAAACUUAAUUUUCAUUUAAUAAUACUUUUUUUGCUAAUUUUAUAAUUCUUUUUACUAUUUCUGAUUGACUUAUUUAAUUAAUUUUUAUAGAGGGGUAGGUUUCUGGAAAUUUAAGAAAUCAAUUUAGAAUUCAUGAGAGAAUGGAAAACAUAUUUAAAAGAGAAAAGUAAUAUAUAUUUUUUUUAUUUUAAAAAAAGCUUUUUGUAGGGCUCUAGAUAUGGGCGUUAGACUAGAAAAAUGAGAAAUCUUAAGGUUUAGUCUGGUGACAAAAAUAAAGUUUGAUUGUUAGCAAAAUUGUCAAAAUUUAUAUUUAUAUAUAAAGAAACAUAUACGAAAUUGUAAAAAUUGCCUCUUACUCCAAUAAAACUCAAUUUGGUUAUGUUAUAAUUCUAGAAUCAAUUGAUAAAAAACAUAUCCAUAUACUUCGUCACGGAUAUAAAUUCAAGAUAUACUAAAAUAAAACAAAGCAUUUAUUGUAUUAAAAAAAAAUGAUGUAUCCCAAACCUGAGCCAAAAUGAGAGUAUUCAAAAGGUUGACAUGUACGUGGCACACUUUUGAAAGAGAAAAAAUACUUAUUUCCAAUUGCGACCUCCGUUCUUUUUUUUCUUUUUUUUGUCGUUUCCAUCAAUUUAAGGAAAAAAAAAACUGUUAUUAUUUAUUACUUAAUAGUUUUCAACGACUUCAAUUAAAAACACUAUAAUGAAGUUGUCACACAUUAAUUUUUUUUAAUGAAGUAAUGAAAUCCAAACAGAUAAAAAUAGUUUAUGCAUCCAGUUUUCGGUUAGAAAUCCAUUAAACUUAAAUGUGCUAAUCUAAUUAUAAAUUAUAUUUUGUCCUUUAUAGUUGAAAAGAGAUAAUUAUUAGGUGUGAUUGUAAUAAUUGUUCAUAUAGCUUAUGUAGUCUUUUCCUGAUUUCCUCCUUCUUCUUUGUUCUUUUUUUUCUUUAUUAUUAUUAUUCAUAUGAUAAUAGUGCAAUAUUUUUUUUAACAACUUUGUCAGAAAAUGACUCAUGAGAUAUCUCAAUAUUGAUAUGUCUUACUUUUUGUUUCAACUCAAAAGGUUUUGUAUACUAACGUAGAUAAUCAUCUUUUUUGAUAUGUCCAAUAAUUUUAUUCAAUUUGUAAUUUAGCCAAGCUAAUAAAAGGGUGAGUUAAUUGUACAAAACCAUUGAUCCAACCGUUUAAGAGUUGAAAACAACCAAACAAAUGAAAAUAAAUAUUAAUUUGAAAAAAGAUAACCUGGGAAGGAUUCAAACAGUACAAGAUAUCUUAAACUACACUAGUAUGCUAUCAUAUUAAAUUGAUAUAGUUUUAAAAUUGGAUUAAAGUAAAAAUAAAACUUAUUUACUACUACUACUGCCAUUAUUAUUAUAUAAGAAUUUAAUAACGAAGGAAAUGGGGAGUCGUUUGUUCACCAAGCUUCCACGAGGGUUAUUAUUAUCCUCUCGUACAUUUCACGAGCUUCAUCAAAUAGUCACUGUCAAGAUUAAUGGUCAUUAUUACAUACCCUUAAUUCUUCUUCCCUUAUAAAAUAGCAGAGGUAAUUUGCGGUCAGAGAGGAAUAUGCUUUACUUUUGUUUUUAUUAUUACCUAAUAUUUGUUUGCAUUCUAAUAUAAAUCAUUAAAAUAUUUCAAUAAAUAAAUAGCGUUUACAGGAUAAAAUUAAUACAUAAAUACCGUAAUACAAUGUAUUUAUUUUAAGCAAUAUUAUGUGUGAUUUUUAAUGGUGAAGAAGAAGAAGGUAAGAUAGUACGUGCAGCUUGUGCGUGUGGCACGAGAUUCUCGUGUUUUAACCACAAACUUUAAAAUCGGUUUUUGGGAAAUUGGAUAACAGGCGGGGGGGCGCCACUUUUCAAAUUUUAUGAAUUUACUAUUUUGUCCAAUUUAGACUCCGUUAUGCGUCCUCCGAGUCCGUGGCAUUACCUCCAUCGUCUAUCUAUGCCUUUUUCAUUUUUAUUAUUUACCCCUAAAAUUAACAGCCACAAUCUACACCUAACCACUGCCUCAACAUUCAAACUUAAUUCUUUUUCUUUCUUUUCAAUAAAUCUUAAACAUAUUAUUGAAAAGGUAAAUUGGAUCCAUCUUUUUUAGUAAAUAUAUUAACCCUAAACCCUUGAAUAAAUAGAUCUAACUUGUAUAAUUGUUCGUUUAAAAAACAUAUUUCUACUCUCAACGAUGAUUUAUAUUAUUAAAUUAUAUAAAUACUCGGAAUUUUUGUCGUGGGAACUUUUACAUUUGGAUUAAAAUAUUUUAUUUUUACCUUAAAACUUUCAAAAAGUAGAGCAUUAUUCAAUUACAUAUAUUACAUAUAUUGUUAUAGUUUAUUUGAAGAUGUAAAUAAUAUUAAUUUAAACUUAGAAGGAACUAUAUAGAUUUUUAAAAUCAUUGCCACCAACCAUUUAAAUUUAUGGAGGAGUUUGCAAAAAAAUAGUAAAAAAGUUCAUGACAAUUAACCUAAUUUCACUUAUAUUUAUUAAAUUCUCAAAUUUAUAUAUCAUUUAAAAUAUCGCUGGUAAGGGUUAGUUUAAAGUAACGUAAAAGUUGUAUAUGUAAAAAUAUCUCUACAGAGAGUUUAUUUUCUUUGCAAUGUAUAGAAAGCAGGAGUUGUAUGGUUGGGAUCCUCUAUUAUUAAUGGUUAAAAAUAAAAUUAGUAUGCUUAGUUUCUUGUUACCCACUCCAAAUAUGAAAUUAGAAAAAUUCAAUUUAUCUCCUUAUUUUUCUUUCUAUUGUUUUCGAGAAGCUAUAACACUUUCGGAAACAUUUCCCAAUAAGAGACUGCAGGCAGUGCUCGACUAGUUACCGCCAUUACCUUAUAAAACCCACACAUCAUUCAAUCCCCUCACCAUCCUUUUCUUCUCCCUAACGCUUUGUUAAACAUGGACACGCCUCCCUCGUUUUUGAUGCUGCUCCUCCUCCUCUCUUUUCUCGCCGUCGUCUGCUCCGCCGUCGUCCCCACUCCGAUCACUUUGGACCCAGACGUUCCUCCAUCGUCCCUUCCGAUCGACUACAUCCAGGUCCGCUUUUCAACUUUCUUUGUAUUCUCAACUGUCGCUUUUCUAAAUUUAUCUUUCAACUUUUCUGUAAUCUUCUUCUCUUUGUUUCUUUUGUGUUGCUUAGGAAGUCGGAAGCUGCUCUUACGAGGUCACCGUUGAAACAAGCUGUGCAUCUCCUUCAUCCAUCACUAGCGAAAUCGGUGUUCUGUUUGGAGACACUUAUGGAAAUCAGGUUUUCUUUCUUUUCUAUUUCUUUCAGUUUUUUUUUUCGGAGUGAUGAAAUUUCCAUUUCCGGCCGUUUUGGGAUUGGAAAUUAUCCAGAAUGUGAAAUAGUAUGGUUUUAAUUUAUGAACUCUAGGGUUAUUUUAUUUCCCCAAAUAUAAUCAAGGUCAUGCGUUCUGUUUGUAGUCUUAUUCCAGAAUGAUUUUCGCCCGAAUACUAAACUUCAGAUUAUGAUCAUUUUUAUUUUGUUUUGUUGAUCAAGCUCUGAAUCUAAAUAGAUUGAUCUUAUUCCGCGGGACUUCUGUUUUGUGUUUGAUUGUAUAAUUUCACAAAUUGAUAAUAGAUAAUCGAGAAGAAGUUGGGUACUGGAGACAAGGUGUUUGGUAGUUGUAAGACAGAUAGCUUUGUUCUGAAGGAUCGACCCUGCAUUAUCCAAAUCAGUUAUAUGUAUAUCUAUAAGGAUGGGGCUGACGAUUGGCUUCCCAACUCUGUUGAAAUCUCAGGCUCUGGAAUCAAUCCCCUUCUGUUUAUCUUCAAAUCCUCCAUCCCAACAAACACUUGGUUUGGCUUCGAUUUGCGUCAAUAUACUUUCCCACCGCCGCCCUCCGUCUUCCCAGCCCCUCCUCCUCCUUCCCAUCCCUUGGUACCACCGCCGGAGCCAAUCUUUUCAUCACCGCCUCCUCCACCAAAGCCAAUUCUUCCUCCACCGCCACCACCUCCUCAGCCUACUCCUCCAUCGUCCUCCAGCAAGAUCUCAGGUCAGAAGUGGGGUAUGGUGUCUGUGAUUUUGGGAUUGUUGACUGCUCUUUUAUGAUUCUGCAGUAGCUGUUCGGUUUGCGUAGUAGGUAGAUUUUGUAGUGGUGGGUGGGUGAUAAUGUUUUGUUGAAGUUUCUUCCCCCCAUUUCAUCAUGUUGUAGGGAGUUCUGUGUAAGCUUUCAAAGCUCUAGUGAAACCUUUGUCUUUUCAGUUGUAUGGGACUGAUGCAAUUCUACAGCUACUGCUUGUUCUGUGGCUGUUGGUUGAGAAUGUUGGCUCUAUAUGGAUGGGGAUGAUACUUUAUUUUACGUUUCAUCCCAUUUUCCUCCAUGCCUAAAGGUCUAUGUAAGCUUCCAAAAAGCUUUUAUGUUUUCAUCUUUUCAGUUGUAUGGGAUAAUAUGUUUCUUUCCAUGAGAGUGGGCUCAGUUAUCUCAGUAUGUCCAUCUCUAAAAUUGUCUAGUGUUUUCUUUUCAUUUUCAUCUUUUAAAAGAACUGUGAUGGGUGUGAUGGCGAUAUCAAUUUUUUUUUUUUAAUGUACUUUCUAAAUUUCAACACAUUGUUAAAUGCACAUGUCAAUAAUUAAAUUUCUUUAUGAUAUUUUGAUUUAACAUGCAAGUGAAUCAAUAUUUAAAAAAUUUGCAAAAAUAAAAAAAUAAAGAACAAGUGGUAAAGAGAUAUCAAAGAGCUUCUUUGGACUAACAAGAGAAAAAGUAAUUUUUUAAAAAAUGUUUCAAAAAUUAAUUUGAAUUUUCAUCUUUUCAUUUGUUUUUCUAAAAUAACUUAUUUUUAGAUUGAAUGAUUGAAAAUUGUUUAUAUCUGAACAUAUUCAACAUAUUACAAAUAAUGAAUAUGUUAAUUUGCUAAAUGUUUAUUCAGUGCUUUAUGUUAUUAGUUUUCUAACCUUUCGUUUCUUUCGGACAAGCACAGUCAAUUACUUUUUGUUAUUCGUUAUCGUAUUUAAAAUAGUUUGUACGUUUUUAUAUAUCAUUAUAAUCUAAAUUAAAAUAAUUUAUAUUACAAACAAUAAUUAUAAUUAAUUGAAGACUGUAAUAGUUACAUCUUUUCUCUCAAACGUUAUCUAAAUACGUAGUAUGAUAGAACUCUUCUGUCUUCCAAAAAAACGAAAAAGAAAAAAGAAAAAUAAUUAGAUUCUAUAGAGCCCUUAGAGGUUCAAGCAAUGAGGUGAUGUCAGAUGUCACCAUGCAUGUGUGCACACGAAGUUAUUAAAAAUUUAAAAGUGCGUUCCAAAGAAUCCAAUAAUCAUAUAGAAGAAAGAGGAGCUUGAUAGGAGAGAGUGGCUCUCGAAGACUCAAACGACUGAAGGGGACUCUCCGAUCACUGUGUUUUUAGAUAUGGAUGAUAACAAAGAAUUAGGUUGAGAACUGCACCAGACUUUUAGGGGCAUAUGAUAAUCGUAUUCAACGGACACGUGCACGAAAUUAAUCUAACCUACAAUGCAAUUUCCAAAUAAACUAAUAUCAAUAGUAAUAAACAAUCCUCUGGAGAGUCUUCAUGCAGUUAAAUGGUAUUUUAGUGCAUUUCUAUUGUUCCUCUUUUAUAUUUUAUAACAAGGGUUGAUACACAAACAAAUUUUCACGUCAUCAAAUAAUUAAAUUUUAAACUAAUUAAAGAUUAACUUAUAUCCAAAAUGAAAAUUGAAGAUAUAAAUUGACAAAUCUUGAUGACAUCCAGUAUUUUCAUUAUGACCAUGGAAUCAAAUGAAUUAUUUUGAUUUAAUAUAAUAUAAUUUAUUUGGACUAAAGUUUAGUAAAAAAAUGAAAAUUAUUCAAUCUAUAUAUUAACUAUCAACACAGAAGCUAUUCUCAGUAGUCACUAUUAUGGUUGAGAUGAAUAUUAAUGGAGUGUGAAAUUAAUAGUUACUUGAAAAGCAAGAGAUGGUUGGUGAUGUGGAUGUCAACUUAAUUGUUUGAAUUUUGGUACACGUGACUAGCGAGGAAUGAAAAACCAUUUAAUAUUGACUGAAAUAAAAGAAAAAUAAUAAACUACCUACCCAAUUCCCCAUUACUUAUAACAAAAAUACUUGAUGAAUCUUGUGUACCGCAUUUAUUUGGAAUUAUUUUCUAAUGCUAUCCUAUACUAUAUAUUUGAAAAUUUACUUAGUUUGUAUGAAGAUUCUAGAGAAAUGUGUUUUGUCGAGCUGAAUUUGCAUUGAUGUUGAUUAUGAUGCCUAUGUUUUAUACGUACCAUUUUUUUGGGAUUUGAUCAUUUGAUUCUCUCUCGGUUGAACGCCUAUGUUUUAUACAUUUGAUUUGAGAAAGUGGAGCAUGUAGUGUCUUUUAAGUUACGAAGUCUUCUAAUUGAGAGAGAAUUCUAUAUAGAUCUUUUAGGCUUUUCCAUUUAAGAUGAAAAGAAGUCGCUAUUUAUAGUCAUCUAAUUUGUUUUAUGGGCUUGAACUUCAUCGGUCCAAAAUUAAACACUUUUCUAAUUUACUAUUCUUAACGUACAACGUCAAAAGUAAAAUAGUUUCUUUCAAAUUUUAUGUUGCAUUGUUUUUUCUUCAAAUUGGCGUGACAAUAAUGCAAAAAAGUUAUAAAACAAAACACAUAUAUUUAUAAAAAAGGUAUUUUAAAAAAUAUAAUACAAUAGAACAAUUUUAAAAAUUGAAAAAAUUACAAGCCACGAUAAGAAAUACAAGAAAUGUUUGGUGAUUAAUCGUCAAUUUAUGAAAACAAAAGUUUAUAAUGUACUUAUAUAUAUUUGUCUUCCAACUUUACAAUUCUGAAUUAGUUUUGUUGGUUACAAAAGUUUGGGGAUCACUUGCAUUUUGCACUUGGUAUAAAAACCUUUUUUUUUUCUUUUUUUCAUUUUGAUUCUUUAAUUUUUUUGACUUCCCAGCAGUGUAAAACCAAACCUACCUACUCCAUACUCCAAUCACAAAUCCCACCAUUAAUUUCAUUCAAACCAACCUUUCCCUAUUCCACACUUCAAUGGACAAAACAUCAAGCUCUCUACACAUGGCGACGCCUCUACUUCCUUUCUUCUUCUUCUCCUUCUUCUCCAUUUCCGCCGCUCAGUCAACCGCUUCUAAAUCCUUAUCCAUCGCCUAUAUUCGGGUUCCCUUUAUCAUUCUACUUCACUUUUUUCUUUCACUCCUCCAUUCAUGUUCUUAUCUCACUCUCUUCUCUUCUUCUUUUCCUAUUUUCACGUGAAGGAAGCCGGAGAUUGCAAUUACAGAGUCAAUAUAACAACUAGCUGCUCAUCCCCUUUCUAUAUUAGUUCCGAAAUCGGCGUUCUCUUUGGGGACGCUCAAGGGAAUCAGGUUCGUUUUAAUCUUCCCAGAUUUUGCUUUUAAUUUACUUUGCAAUUACUUCAUCUCUCGAAGCCUUUAGACUGUAGAGAAUAAAAUUAAAUUAGUUCGUCUUCGUGGUGCUGAAGUUUCAUUUAAUAUGGUUGUUUUGCUAAUCUGCUUAGUUAAGGUUUUUUAUUUUUUUUUUUAUUUUUUUUAUUUUAAAUAUUCGAGUUUUGAAUUGCAAGGAAAGAACAAAUUAGUGCUUUAGAACGUGUGGACUUUCCUUUUCCUUUUUUGAAAUUAAAGUUUGAGGAAAUAUAUUCAUUAAGAUUUCUUGAGAGUCCUUCGUCAAUUUGGGAUUCUCUUACACUUUCUUAUAUUUUAUUGAAUGAAUGGAAAUUUGAUAGUAGAAACUUAUAAUCUGUUUUCGAAGAUGUUUAUUGUUACAUGUAAUCUAUUAUGUCAUGGUUCGCAAUCAAUAUUAUAUAUCUAUCACCUAAAAAUAGUUUUGAAACUAAAAUCAAAAUUUUGCUUAAGAACAGCAGGUAGUAGCACUGUUAGUCAUUCAAUUCAACUUAAAAAUUAUAUUUCGUCAUUACAGUAAUCUGUCAUCUAAUCAGAACCUAAGUACAGUUGGUGGCUUUAAACAAUUGGAAACAUAGAUGUUCAUUGAAUAGAUAAAAUGAACAAAAUACAUACCAUCUAUGGUUGGUUUUUAUUCAAUACUAUAAUGAAAAUGAAUGAUAAGGACAAAAGAACUUUGUAUUUAUGUAGUAGGUUUGGUUUUGAACCUAUUUUCUCUUAAUUUUUCUUUUACAGUGGUUUGGAUCUUUCCAAAAUGGUUGAAUUGUAGAUAUUUCUAGAACUCUCUUAUCGAGACAUUUAAAGAAGAAAAGAGAAAAGGGAAAAUAAAUUUCUGUUUGACCAACCUUUAUACUUUAUGUUUCCUGUUCAAAUUAUGUUUGGAUAAGAAUGACUAAUUUAGAAUUUGAAAAGUAGAUAUAUGAGCCAAAGCUAGAAGUUGAAAGCGGGAAUGCAUUUAGGAAAUGCAGAAAAGACAUAUUUGAACUGAUAGGACCAUGCAUAGACCAGAUAUGUUUCUUUUAUCUUUACAAGAACGGCUCAGACAAUUGGAUUCCAGAGACUGUAGAAAUCUCCAGCCCUGACAUUGACACUGUUAAAUACACGUACAACUCCUCAAUCCCGAAUGACACAUGGUAUGGCUUUGAAGACUGCCAAUACUUUCCGUCACCAUCACCGCCACCACCACCGCCUCCAUCAGUCCCUUCCACAGCCGGCUCUCUGCCAAGGUGGAAAUGGAUUGCUUCUCUCAUCCCUGUGCUUUUCAGCUGCUUUUUGCUGUGAAUGUUAUUCUCACUCUGUAUUAUGGCUUUUGGCUUGGUGGACUAGAUAUAUUUUUUGUUUCUAUUUUGAUCCACCGCUGUGUUUGUAUUUGUACUGUAUUUUUUAAUUUGAUGAUCACAUGAAUAGCUGUGUAAUUCAACUUUGAUAUAUGUAGAAAUGGAUUUGAUGGAGUUGUGCUAUGAUUGUUGAAUAUGGAGGAACAUAUGUUACUAUAAUCAUGUUCAUAGCUUGCGUAUCUUAGCAAUUGAAUAUUCAAGGAGAAUUUGUUUAGGGAAAAACGGAAAGCUACAAAAGAAAAUACAUAUUUUCAAACAAAUAGAGUUGUGCAAAGUUGAUUCAAUCAUCUAUCAAGUAAUAGAAGUCUAUGUACUAUACUUACAUUUUUUUAAAAUGUUAUAUAUUUGAUUAUUAUUCCCAGAAUUACUAGACUAAAGGCAAAUGCAAAUGUUAAAUUAUCAUAUUAUACUAUUAAGUUAUCCUUAAAAUAGUUGGACAUGUUCAUAUGUCUAUAAGUAUUUAGAAAGGAAAGAAAUUAAACCAAUUUAGGUAUAUAAAUGUUAUUCUUUUACAAGCAAUCUAAGUAAAUUAGGCAUCAAACUUUUGUUGGUUGACACAAAAUAAAAACAUAAAUAAGUUAUAAGCUAUGCUCAUAAGUCAUUCAAAAUUUAAAGAUAUUAAGCUAUAAAAUUUAAUAAUUAAAACCGAGAACGGAUGUGGAAAUUUGUGUACCGUUCAAGGGUUCAAUUAAAUCUGAUGGCUCUUUGUAGGAUGAAUCAGACUCCGUAGUUUUUCGUACUCUUCUUCUCCAAAGGCUCCACCACGCAGCAAGAAAAAUGGACAUUAAAGGGGUGCUCUGUCUUCUCCUUACCUCCGCCAUUCUUUUCUCUUUCUUAGAAGCCACCGAAUUGCUACCCAAACCCGCUGAAUCCUUUAAUUUAACCUAUAUUCAGGUAUCUCCGUUUUGUAUCGCUGAUUUCCAUUUCCAUUUCCAUUUUUGCUGAUUUUCAAUCUGUUGUGUACCUUGGAUGUAUCUGACAACGAUUUAAUUUUGUGUUUUUGUUUGCAACUUUCUGAUGUUGAAGCAACUUGGGAGUUGUUCUUAUUCGGUUGUUAUAUCCACGAGUUGUUUGUCGCCUGCAUACACAAGGGAUCAGAUCAGUCUUUCAUUCGGCGAUGCUUAUGGAAACCAGGUUUUCUUUGUUUAAACCUUCAUUUUCCCCACUGAUUGUAUCGGAAUAGAAUGGCCUUGGUUUCUCGAUCUUCCGCGAUUUAAUCUAAUUUUAGAUAUUUGAUAUGGUUGGUGAAUAUAAUCGGAGUUCAAUUUUGCAUUUGAUUAGGGAUACAAACGCUUAUGAACAUCUCUCUUUAGGUUAUGGUGAUAGAUUGGUGUUAUACUUCAUCUUUUCGAGACAAAAUGAAAUAGAAAUCUAAUCGGGUUUCUAUUUCUCGAAUCAGGAUUAUGAUGGGAUGAUAGUCUGUUGAUUUAUAUGUUCUUCAAAUCAGUUAUGCAUUUAUUGAUAAAACAUUACUUUGGAAAUCAUUCAUAGUAAUUAACCAGUUUGAGUAAUAUCUUAUACUCAUUAACGUCUAGAACUUCCAAAACAUCAGCAGAUCACAGUGUUGAUACAAGAAUUUGAAAGGACACCGUAUGAUAAUUCAAAAACAAUCUAAGUUAUGUCUUUUACUUUCAGAUAAAUUUGGGAACAAUUAAUCAUUGAAGAAGUUUGUUUUGUAUAAAGAGUGAUGAGUUUUAACUUGUGUAUCAGAUUUAUGUGCCAAGGCUUGAUGAUCCAUCUAGAAGGAUAUUUGAAAGAUGUUCUUCUGAUACGUUUGGCAUUAAUGGACCUUGUGCUUACCAAAUUUGCUAUGUUUAUCUUUAUCGCACCGGACCGGAUGCCUGGAUCCCAACAACAGUGAGAAUCUCUGGUGAUAAUUCUAGACCGGUGACGUUUAACUACAACACUGCCAUACCGGGUGAUGUAUGGUUCGGGUUUAACUUGUGUGGUCAUCCUUCGUCUUCAAACCGUAUUUCAAGUUGCAUAGGGUGGUUCUAUGUCAUUAUAGUGUCUAUUAUUCUACUUCUCUUGUAACUUUGUGUGAUGUGAGGAUGUUUGUUCAUGUUCCAUCCGUUGAUAAGAAUAUACUUUACAUGUAGCACUUUUAGCAUAGGGGAGUUGUGCAGAGUUAAUACAACAGGCUGAGGGAGUUGUUGGUGAUCGAGACUCUUGACUUGGGAUAAGAUUUUGAAUAUCUUAUUUUGGAAUUGGGGAAUAGAGAAAUUUCAGGUUUUGUUUAUUUCUUGAUAUGUAAAAUGAGAAGAGAUCCGAUUUUUUUUUUGUUUAUUUCUUUGAUUCAAGUGGGAUUCUUCUCUUAACGCUUUAUCCUAUAAAAACUUUGUUAUACCUCAGCCAUGUGAAGGCCAUGCCCUCAAACACUAUUAUGUUAGAGGUUGGUUUUUUUUUUUUUUUUGUUUUGAGAAUUGAGGACAUAUUUGAGAGUGAUUGUUCAAAUAUUCAAAAUUAUUAUGAAUCAUGUUUUCAAAUUUAAUUUUAAUGGUGUGAAAAUUUAGAAGUGUAAAAUGUAAUAUUAAAUUAAUUUUGAGUGAAUAGAGUGAUUUUAAACAACAAACGAUUUUGCUGAUUUGGAAAUCACUUUCAAGUAUACACUUAGUUUGUUCUGAGUAUGAGAUAAUUCAAUGUUCCAAUAUUUCGAAAAAAAGGGAAAAGAAGAUAUCUUAACCAUGUAAGCGAGGGAUAGUUGUAAAUUUAACAAUUAAAUUCAAAUUAAUUAAGCAUAUAGCACAAUUUUAAAAAUUUUGCAAAUAUAGCAAAAUUUGUCAAAUUCUAUCAAUAAUAUAAGUUUAUCCCUGAUAGACAUGUUGCAAAUAUUGGUAUAUAUCAGUGAUAGUUUUGCUAUAUUUGCAAUUUUUUAAAAUGUUGCUAUAUCCUUAAUUAUUAUUGCUAAAAUAGUCAUUCAUUGCAAUUUCUCUUUUUUAAUAAUAAAAUGAGCCAUAUGAUGGUAUAUGAUAUAACAGUUUCAAAUUUAUUUUAGAAAAUGAGCCAUAUGAUGGUAUAGUGUUUUCAAAUUUAUUUAAGGUAUGUUUGGAAGUGAUACAUGGAAGAAAUAAUUCUAGAAAGAAGAGAUUUAUAUACAUAUGAUUUUGUAAAAGUGAUUUUUUAACCAUCAAAUUUAUGUUUGUUUAUUCUUAAAUACUUAAAAGUGAUUUUGAAUUAAGUGUUAAAAUUACUAAAUUAUACUUUUACAUUUGAAAAUUAUUUAACCAAGUACUUACAAGGGGUAUUUUUAAAAAUAGAAUAAUUAGGUAAAACACUUGCAUCCCAUACCAAAAUUUUAACCUAUUAUGUAAAAGUUCAAAACAGAUGGUGAAAUACCAAAAAAACUCAUGAAAACCUAAAUCACCCAAAUUAAUAGCGAUUUUUUUUCUUUGAUACACAAAAUCUCGGUGUUUUUUAACCGAGAUGAAGGAAAUAAAGCUUUAGAGAUUGAGUUCUCAAGCUAAUCUCAAUACUUGUCUGACCGGGAUGGAUGGCAAAGAAGUUAAGAAGCCUAAAACUCGAAAAACAUCGAACGAAAUUAAAGAAAGAAGUGAAAUCCCAUGGCUAAUCUUGGUGUUUCUCGACCGAUAUGAAGGAUAGAAAGCUUUGAGAGAUUGAGUUCAUGGAAUAAUCCUGAUGUUUGUCCGCCUAAGAUGAAAGGUAGAGAAGUUAAGAAGCCUAGAACUCGAGUCAUCUCGAAGCCUAGUUAGGUUGAUAUUGAAAACAUGGAGUUCAGAAACACUGUAUCUCAGUGUAAUAUAUAGUCCACAUAUCACGUGAUUCAAUUCUAUAUGAUUUAAUUUGAUAAAAUAUACAUGAAGUUUCAAUGUGAUAACUUUGGAGGACAUUGAUAUAACUGGAGUUUCGAUGUGGAGAGAUAUUGUCGUUGUGUUCAUCCAGUAGAGACCAUGUCAGCGAAAAAAUAAGGGAAGAAGAUCAAUAAGAAAAAAUAAAGGAAGAAGUCAAUGAAGUCACCGAAAAAAAUGAAUGAAGAAGAUGAUUCCUUGUGUGAAUAUUGACUGUGCUAAGGGGUAUUUUUGGAAUAAUAUGAAAGUAAUAGAUGCUCUCUAUUUGUUGCUAUAUAAUGUAAAUACUUUGUAUUUUCAUCUAUUUAUGUAAAUUUUCCUAAUUAUAAUAAUAUUUUUGUUAUUAAUUAAUUUAUUAAAAAGUUGGCCACAACUAGUCGUUGGAAACGGUGGUCGGUUGUGUCACUGAAAAAUGUGAUUAGAGAUUGGUAGCAGUGGUUGUUGAAAUUGAUCAAAUAUGGUUGUCGAUAAUAUGGUCACUCAAAGUUCUAAUAAAUAUCUAAUUUUAUUAAUUUAUUUUUAAAAAAUAUCUUACUUAUUGGAAGUUAGUUGUUCAACGUCAGCGAUGAAAUGUGAUCCUCGAAAAUUGGUCGGUGGUGAUGCUAGAAAUAUAGAUAUGAGGUUGGCUAUAGUGGUUGCAUGAAGUUCUUCAAAAGUUUUCAUAAAAAUAUAGUUGUUAAAAAUUGAUCGGUGAUGACUCCGAAAAGCGGUAAUUUGAUUAGUAACACCAACAGUUGCGAAAAAAUGGUUGUCAUCCGUUGUCGAGAAAUAGUCAACAACGACGUGAUGACGGAAGACUGAGAAAACAAUCAUUGAAAGUUUGUCAAUGACGACCAUUCAAUGGUCGUCGGAAGUUUGCUCAUGAUAGUUGUUAGAAAGCAAUCAUCGAAAGUUUGCUAACACCAAUUAAAAAAAGAAAAGCAGAAUGAAAUUUGUUUUUAUUAUCAAACAUGAUUAUUUUUUAUAAAAGUGAUUCAAAAGUGAUUUUAGUAAUGUCAAAAUCAAUCCUAAAUUAAAUGCAUACUGAACCGUUUUAAAUUGAUUUGAGAUAUUUGAUUUGCAGUUUAAUAAUUUUUAAGUAUUGUUAUUAGUUUAACAAAUGUUUAUCGUAAUAUCUUGAUUGAUUAACUAAUGAGCGAAUAAGUUUCUCGUAAACUUUAAACUUUAGCGGUGAACAAAAAUGAUAAGUUUAUUCAAUUUUCCAUACCAACUAUUCUAUGCUUCAAAAUUGAAGUAUUUAUUUACAUAAAAACCAAAACAAAAUUGAAACUUAAAAGUUAAUAGGCUUGAAUUUCAAGAACAAACUAGUCUUUUUUAAAGAGAUAGGGUAUCAAAUAGUUUAAAUAAAGAAAAAUUCUUGUAAUGGACAAAACUAGUGAAAAUAUCUAAAAAAAUAUAACAAAACUUUAUUUAUCAUAUAUGAAUGAUAGAAAAUAUGUAAUUUUGCUAUAUUUGGAUUGAUUUUAGUAUAUUUGAUUGACAUUUCUGAGUAUAAGUAUUUUUUUUUUUUUGCAAUCCAUAGUAACAUAGACAAAUUUAAUUUAGAAAGAUUGGUAUGAUAGGAUGAGUAUUUGAAGAAAAGAUUUGAGGGUGCAUUAUAAGUAAAGAACAAAGAAAUAAUUUGUAUAAUUUUUUGUUGGGAACUUGAGUAGAAGAUUCUCGACUUGAAACCUACCUAAUGUAUUAAGAUGCUGAGCUACUCGUGCGGUGGGUUUUUGCCACCGCUGCCACCGCCCAUCCACAGUUGCCACCGUAGGGUUCUUACUACCAAAAUCUUCCACAUAAAUCUGGAUCAACCCAUUCUGCUUCCCUUCCUCAAGCCUCAAUCGGGUAUUCAAGGUUACAAUUUCCUAUUACUUUUCAACCCCUCUUCUCUUCUUUCUUUUCUCCCAUUUUCAUUUUACUUUUCACGGAAAUGAAUACACAUAUUCACGAGAGCAUUAGUUUCUGAUUGAAUCUGGUCUAUUGGGCUUCCACAUGUGUUUUAAUCUAGAGAUAUGAAUUGCUUUAGAAAAUCGAAGUUUGUAUUCGAUGCAUUUCGGAAUCCGUCUUCAAAGAUUUUUCCCAAAGAUUUAAUUCAAGGUUCUAGAUCAAGAAUUUCCCAUACUGGGUAUUCGUUUUCAUCUGGGAAAACUUCUAAUUCUCAUGGCUUUCAAUCGGUUUCUCCAAUUGUUCGAAGAUUUGGGGAGAUUGGGAGACGGUACAAUCCCUUCUUCGGUGAUUCGAAGAGAUUUUACUAUGUCGAUCGCUACCGUAUCCAGCAUUUUAAGCCAAGAGGACCUCGGCGAUGGUUUCAAGAUCCAAGAACUUUAUUGAUUGUUGUGGUGUUGGGUUCGGGAGUUUUUAUCACUGUGUAUUACGGGAAUUUAGAGACCGUACCUUAUACGAAACGAAGGCAUUUUGUACUGUUGUCCAAACCAAUGGAGAGGAAGAUUGGAGAGUCUGAAUUUGAGCAAAUGAAAGCAGCUUUCAAGGGUAAAAUAUUGCCUGCUAUACACCCAGAAAGUGUGAGAGUAAGAUUGAUUGCUAAGGAUAUUAUUGAGGCAUUACAAAGAGGGUUAAGGCAAGAGAAUGUGUGGAAUGAUUUAGGAUAUGCAUCAGAAGCUGUGAUUGGAGCUCCUGAAGGGAGUGGCCAUGAGACAUUGAUGGCGCUUAAAGAUUCUGGGAGCGAGAAGUUGGAAGGUAAAUGGUACCGUGAAGAUGAGAUUCUGGAUGACAAAUGGGUUGAGCACAGUCGAAAGAAGGGUCAGGGGUCCCAAGCAAAUACCUCGCAUUUGGAUGGAUUGAAUUGGGAGGUUUUGGUGGUGAAUGAGCCAGUUGUUAAUGCAUUUUGCUUGCCUGGUGGGAAAAUUGUUGUUUUCACUGGCUUGCUUGAGCACUUUAGAAGUGAUGCAGAAAUUGCUACUAUUAUUGGGCAUGAGGUAUGUUAUAUGAUAUCAUAAAUCAAAUGCAACAAUCAAAACGAAAGCUACACAUUUUUCUUCGAUAAUCAAUAUCUAUAUGAUUGAGUUGUUUCUUGGAAAUAAUGCAUCUAUGAAUAAUUAUAUGAAUGUUUGGAAGAUAAAUUUUGUGCUGAUGAGUUCGAAUUCCAAUUGUUUUCUCUUAUUCUUCAUCUUAUUGAGUCAUUGACCACAUAUUCUAUUGACAUCAAUAUCAAUAUUUUUUUUCUUUAACUUGCAAGCUUUCACUUAGCUCAACCUUUAUAAUCAUGCUUUAAUGUUUCUUACAAGAUGCAAUAAAGCAAAUAGUUUUCUGGGCUUACGUGUUUGUGUGACAAGCUAUAUAUAAAAGUAGGUAACUAUAAUGGAUAGCCAUUUUAGGAAUAAUAAUCAAGGAUAUAGCAACAUUUAAAAAAAAUUGCAAAUAUAACAAAAUCUAAAUCUACUGCCGAUAGUCUAUCUGUGAUAGAUUAAUAAAAUUUGACUAAUUUUGCUAUAUUUGCAAAUUUUUUAAAAUGUUGUUAUAUACUUAAUUAUUUUGAGUCUAAUUGCUAAAUUUGUACUACGUUAAGAAAGAAACAUGCGUUACAUGGAAAUACAAAAAUAAGACCCCUAAACACAAGAAAUUUAGCAUUUUAGUUUAGUAAAUUUGAUUUUUUUGUAGUGAAUAUAGAUGGAAAAAUUCUAAUUGUUACUACUUUUAUAAAAAAAAGGUAAUGAAAUGCCCUAAGGCCCAAGGUUUGCGCCUUGAGGCUUCACACAAGGCACGUGUCUGAGGUCUGCCUUAUUUUGUGAGUCUUGCCUUUUGAAGGCAAGGUGCCAGACCCGUACCUUCCAGUUCAGGCUAUUACCUUUGGAUCUUGUUUUCAUUAAUUAGGUGGCCCAUGCUGUGGCUCGACAUUCUGCAGAGGGUAUUACAAAGAACCUGGGAUUUGCCGUUUUGCAACUCAUCCUUUAUCAGUUCAUCAUGCCUGAUAUUGUCAACACUAUGUCAACUCUGUUCUUAAGGCUUCCUUUCUCUAGAAGGUCAGUUCAAAGUUAUUUUCUUUAUAUCUUUAUUCAUUAUGUUGGUUUAGUAUAGUUCAUGGUAGGUUUUCUUGUUUCCUUGGUUUCAAUAGAUGUGUAUGUGCACCCAAACAUGUUAUUUUGUCAACUUCAUGCUAUCUCUUAUCUGUUCUAUGUAAUUCUGUUCUUCACGACAUGGAAAAAAAAUGGUUGUAUAAGGUAAAUCUUCAUUUGAUGAACAAAGGCUUGAUGGGAAUGGCUGUCAACAAUUAUCUAGCAUUACCUUAGCUAUAAAAAUUUCUUUUUGGUUACUUACAAGUUAAUCUCAAGACAUCAAAUUAUCAGGCAUUGGUCAUCUGUAGAGAAAUUUAACGGCCUAGGACAUUCCUCCUUUCGGCUUUGCUUUCUUAAUCAAAAGUCUUAUAAGAAAUUCUAGUUCAAGCAUCUAAAAAUACUUGAAGGGCAUUCACAAUGAUUCUUGAUGAGGUGGAUUCUGGAUUAGUUUAGAGUACGUACUAUUUUUCCCUUCAGAUGCCCAACCAUUAUCGAGUGAAAAAUGUCGUUUGUAUCUUUAUAAUUAAAACAUAACAAUUGAAUUCACUGAAGUACUCUAUCCAUCUACAGAUGGGCUGAGUUUGCAGUCUAAUAUUUUCAAACAUUUCUAUGGCUUCAGGAUGGAAAUGGAAGCAGAUUACAUUGGUCUGCUGUUGAUUGCCUCUGCUGGAUACGACCCUCGGGUUGCACCCAAGGUAUAUGAGAGGUUGGGUAAGGUGACGGGUGACUCUGCCCUGAGAGAUUAUCUUUCAACUCACCCAAGUGGAAAGAAAAGAGCUCAGUUACUUGCUCAAGCAAAGGUUAUGGAGGAAGCUCUUUCUAUUUACAGAGAAGUGAGAGCCGGACAUGGGAUUGAAGGCUUCCUAUAAACAACUCCCAGUACUGAGUUGAUACUGAUUGGCAAGAGACUGGUGUCUCCUUCCUGUAUUGUUGUACUAAGAAGUAAAGCAUGAUCAAAUGUUAUAUCUGAUUAUUUUGGUGUGUAAUUCGUUUGAUUUUGACUUUCCCCUUAUAAACCCAUUUGAUGAACCAUUCUUUGGUGGUUUUUCAUUUUUGUUUGACAUGGCUUUUCCUGUUUCGCAUCAGGAAUUUUCAUAUUGGAGGACAUUGAUAUCAUGAACAACUUGGGUGCAACGUUGUAAGUGUAACCUAAUUUUGUAAAUAUCAGGUCUGCCGUUGCCAAUACACAGGUUUACGUUCUUGUUUUUCUUUCAAAACAACGAAAUUGUUAUAAAAAAUAGAAUUCUAUAAAAGAUAGGUUACAUAUUCCUAAGUAUCUUUACUAUCAUUUCUUUUAUAUCUUCAUCUUUUCAUAAUAUAAAUAGUCUAUAAAUCUUUUUGUAUCUUUAUCUUUUUACUCUAAAUCAUGAUCAUCAGGACUCAUUUGUAAUAUACAGUAGAGUAUAUAAUAAUAAUACAUUCACCCUCAACUUUCUCUACUUUUUAUUUUCUUCUCGUUCUUCUUGUUAUGUUAGAUAUUUAAUUUUAAAUUUUGUUUUAUUCAAAUAACUCAACCUAAGGAUUAGGUUGGUUUGGACUUUUCGUAUAAUUUUAUUUAUUGAACCAUGGUAAAUAUAACAAUAAUAUUUUUUUGGUUUAUGCAGAUAUAAUACAAGGUAUCAAAAUUAUGAUACCAAUUAUGCUCUCGAUAAAAUUUAUGUUCAAUUUCUUACACCAUGUCAUUAUCACCACUAACCAAUAAAAUUUUAUCAAUUUUAUCAAUAAUAGUAGUCUCCUAAUGAAUUUUGCAAAAUUUGAAAUUCUUUUAAAACGAGGUUAUGUACUUUCAUUUCUAGUCAUAGUAGUGAUCUUCAUUGCAAUUAUCCUUCGUUUAUUUUAUGUUACAAUACUACUAUGGUCUCUACAAGUUUGUUUAGUUUUUAGUUUUUGUAUUUACCAUUGUUACUUUUAAUAAAUUUUAAAUUUUGUUCCUACUUGUUUAUUGUUGAUUUUCUUUCUCUUUUUACUGCAUACUUUCGAUAAUAUAUUCAUAUAUUUUAUUUUCCAACAUGAAAGUUAUUAUUAUUAUCAAAAUAAUAAUGAUAGGAUUAAAAUUGACUAGGAACUAAAUUGAACAAACUUUAUAAUAAAGACUAAAAUUAUAAAUAAACGUUUAUUUAUUGUUACUAUUAUUAUUUUUGUUGGUUUGGGUUGAGUCGGUUCUCUACAAAUUGAAAAUUGAGGGUUAGUUUUAAGUUUAAAGUGUGUAUUUAAUUUAACCUUCCAAGAAGGCAAUUUUGAAUACAAAAAUGUUUGACAACCUUUUAAAAUAGCUUUGGAAAGAUCUUCAAAGUUCAAUCUUAAUCUUUUUUAUAUUUAAAUAAAAAUCUUAAUGUGCAUUGAUCUCUUUGGUUGGUUGAACUUGCUCCAAAUAAUAGUUAGAAUUUUUAUCUCUCACUCUAUUAAAAAAAGUAACAAGGGUAAGGGAUAUGUUUAGAAUGAUGGGAUGAAAACUAUGUUAGGAUGGAACAUUUUCGACUUGGUUUGUAAUUAAACUUAUUCUAUGUUCAAAGUUUUUCGAUUACCAUUUUUUCUAUUGACGUGACAAUUCACAAUCUCAUUUUCGUUCUAUCAUCGAUUUUAUAUGUAAUUCAAUAUGACAAUAUUUUUUAAAUUCUUAGUAAUCCUAAUUAUAUUUCAACCAAUAAAAACAUUUCUCUAAUAGUUUUUGGUUUAAUCUUGAUUAUCAAAUGGGGGAAUAUAUUAUAGUUUUCAUAUUCUAAUCUUUUUGAUAUUCAAUAUCGAUUUAUUGAAGUGAUAUUGUCAAUGUCAUCAAGCUAGGUUGAAUCAAAUGUAAGAAUUGCAAAAAAAAAAUAUUUAAGAUUUUGAUAAAGUUGAAAGCUAAAAGUUAAAAAACGAUACAUAUUUUGAAGUUGAGUCAAAAAAAAAAAAAAAAUUCACCGGAUCUCAAUAUUUGAAGAGGAUUCAGGUUUUAUUUGAAUUGCCUAUGUAAAAAAUUAUUUUAAAAAAUUCAUUUUUAUUUAAACAUUUUUUAUUCCAAUAAAUUUUAAAAACUAUUUUUAGUAGGUGAGUAUCAAAUAUUUAAUUUAUUUUUUUAAAAUGACUUAUUUUCAAAAUUAAACAUUUAAAACUUUGAUAUAAAUACAUGCUCUAAAACAAUUUAAAUAAUUUCCUGGAGUAUAUACACUAUAUAUUAGCUUAGUAUUGGGUGGGCAUGUGCUUUUUAAGCCCUUUCUUUUAUUGGAAGGAGUUAAUGUUACUAAUGUCAACUUAUUCAUUAAUUAUAUUAAUUGAAAGUAACCAAAGGAAACAGUAGCUAUUUCUUACUUCUAUUGGGUUUAUAAAUCAUAUUACCUUUAUCAAUCAAAACAUUCCAUACUUUAAACAUUGGAAGAUAUGGGUAAGAUCUCUCUUGGCCUUUAAUUUUGACAAAUAGUAUCAACAAUUCAAAUUUUCUCUUUAAAUAAGUGAUUAAUUUUAAUAAAUAAAAGGUAAAUUUUAUUUCAUUCAAUCUUAAAGAUGAAAAGAAAAGAUAAACUUUUAUUUGAUUCAAAAUAUGUUUUUAAUUUAAUGGUAAUUGAUAUACAAACGAGGUAGAUACUAAAAUGUUGCUAUAUGUACUCUAGUUUUUUUUAGAAGACUAAGGAGUGAUGGAAUGGAUUGAGAUAGGGCCAGAGUGAAGAAGUUAAAACAAGGGAUUUGAAUAGGGUUUGGUAAACUAAAACAAGUAAUAAAUUAAGUACUAACAAGUGAGAAUUCAAUUGUAUGCCAACCUUUCAACACCCAAAGCUUCAAACCAGAUUUAAAAGUGGCAUUCUUAAACCUAAAAUAUUCUUGGAUUUUAUGCCUCUUUCUUUCAAAAGAAGAUUUCUUACAAGAGUACUUAAUGAAAAGAUUUGAAAAAUGGGUAUACACCGUAUACAUAUUUAAUAUAACUUUUAUGACUAGGAAGAUAACUCUUUUCUUUUCACAAAAUUAACCUUGUUUAAUAACAAUUUAGUUUUUGAGUUUCUGAUUUUAAAAAUUAAGUUUACAUACCUCAUUUUUAUCUUUAAAUUUCUUCCUUUGUUAUUUGUUCUAUUACCAAUAAUUUGAAAAAAUCAAACUAAAAUUUGAAAACUAAAAGAAAUAGCUUUAGAAAACUUUUUGUUUUCUUUUCUGAUAACACAAACGAAAAAUAAAAUGGAUAGUCAGUGAAUUUCUAUAUAUAUCACAUUGGUUGUAUCUACAUGAGCUCAAUACACAACGGCAAAAUCAGUAUUAAAUCAAGUUGUGUACUUUUCUUCUCCAUAAGAAAUGGAAUCUGCUCCCGAGGUGAUCAGCCAUCGUAACACUGUCCUCUCUUCCACUCAAUUGUUCAGUCACCUUCACUUGAUUUUCCUUCAGCUUCAAAAUUUAUUCUUUCUAAUUCUCAUACUUUUCUUGGAAACUUAUAUUUUCUUAAAAGGAUGGACUCCCAUUCUCCAUAUUUUCCUCCUACUUUCUAGUUAUGCCAUCUUCAUCUUCAUCAUCAAACCUUCACCAUCAGUCUAUUUAGUUGACUUCUCGUGCCUCAAACCGCCUACCUCCUGCACAGUUCUUUUCUCAACUUUCCUUCAAAAUGCAAUGUUGCUUGAUACCUUCAAUAGCGAUAGCCUCUGUUUCAUGGAGAAAACUCUCAGAUCUUCUGGACUAAGUGAACAAACAUGUCUUCCUCCAGCCUUACACUUCAUUCCACACAAAACUCAUCAACAGGAAUCCAUCAAUGAAGUUCAUAUGGUUCUAUUUCCUGUCAUGGAUGACCUUUUAACCAAAACCCAUCUCUCUUCUUCUGACAUUGAUAUUCUUAUUGUCAAUUGCAGUGGCUUUUGCCCUUCUCCUUCUCUGUCAUCCAUCGUUAUCAACAAAUAUUCUAUGAGAAGUGAUAUUAAGAGCUAUAAUCUCUCUGGGAUGGGGUGCAGUGCAAGUGCAGUAGCUAUUCAAUUAGCUGAAAAUCUUCUUCAAGUUCAUCAAAACUCAUAUGCAGUUGUGCUCAGUACAGAAAUUUUGUCGACCGGUUGGUAUGCAGGUAAUGAACGCUCUAAAUUGUUCAUUAAUUGCCUAUUCCGAAUGGGCAGUGCAGCUAUUCUGCUCUCUAACAAAACACGAGCGAAAGAAUCUUCAAAAUAUAAACUAAUUAAAACGCUUAGAACACAGAGAGCUUUCGAUGACAAAAGUCACCUUUCGUCCAUACGCGAAGAGGACAAGGACGGAAAUCUUGGCGUCACUCUGACAAAGGGUGUAGUUCAGAUCGCCGGAGAAACUCUCCGAUCAAACAUAACGAUUCUGGGUGCUUCAAUUUUACCGUUGUCCGAGAAACUACGACAUGGGACUUCGAGGCUAAGAAAGCGAUUCUUGGACAAAUCACAAGAAAUUUACAUUCCGAAUUUUAAGACGGCGAUUCAGCAUUUUUGCUUGCCGGUGUCGGGGGGUGCAGUGAUAAGGGAGAUCGGGAAAGUGCUGAAGCUUAAUGAUAAGGAUGUGGAAGCAGCAUUGGCGACUCUACAUAGAUUCGGGAACCAAUCGUCUUCUUCGUUGUGGUAUGAACUUGCUUAUUUGGAAGCUAAAGAAAGAGUUGAAAAGGGAGAUAAAGUUUGGCAAAUUGGGCUGGGCACUGGGCCCAAAUGUGUUAGUUUGAUUUUGGAGUGUAUUCGGCCCAUUUAUGGAGAAUAUAAUAAUGAUCCAUGGGCCCAGGUAAUCGAUCAGUAUCCUAUUUUAGGCCCAUCAACUUAACUCUACAAAUCUCUCGACUGUCACACUUUAACAUGAAGUAUCGUAUUGAGAUAUGUAUUAGACAAAUAUGGGCUUUUGAAAAUUUUUAGCAGUAGGCUAAUGUGACCAUAAAUAAAUUGAGAUAUAUGGCAUAGAAAAAAUUUGAUAUUGUCGUGUGAUGGGGAAUUUUUCCAGCUGUUGAGUAACCAAAAAUGAAAAUGAGUAUAUGAUUUAGACUCAUGUGGCUAAACUCAUCGAAUCAAGGAAAUCAUCUUUAAUGUUUUUGAGUCAAUAGGUUAUACAGAACAUCAAGUUAAACUCUGAUGUGAAUGAUUAUGAUCGAUCCCUUCUUUCUUUUUAUUUAUUUAUUAGAAAACAUUCAAUACAGAUAAUAAUGGUUAAUGGUUUUCACUAAAAAAAGUCAUAGAAAAAACGUCAAUAAUAUUUCUAUUUGUCACAAAUAUCUUUAGAGACAGAGAAAAAAUAAUUGCCCCAUGUGGAAUGUUAGUGAAUCCUUGGUUGCUAAAGACUUAUUGUUCAAACUUUAACCAUUGUUACACUUUUCGACACAAUUAUACAUUUAUCGCUUUCCAGUCACAAAUGUAAAAACGCAAGAGUUUGUGAUGCAUAAAUGAAAGUAGUGGCAAUUCCGUAAAUUUUAUAUAGGAGUACCGGACAUUAUAUACUAAACACACUAAAAAGUUAAUAAUUUUAGUUAGAUAACAAAUAGGGUUGGAAAAUAAGUUAGAGUUUAUCUUAUAUGCGUUUUUUUCUUUUUCUUUUUUAAAAAAAUCAUCUUUCUUUUAGUAAAUCAAAUUAUAUUCUUUUUAGAAAACCAUUGAAAUUUAGGAAGAAAAAUAAAAUUAUCUCCAUUUUAGAAAAUCAGUCAAAUAUAGGAAAAAAAUUGAUAUUCGAAAAAAGAUAUGUGAGAAAAUAAAAUUAUAAGAAAUUUGAUAUUUGAAGAAAAAAAGUAUUGACACAUAGAAUAAAAACUAUUUCGUAAAAAUAAUUAUAGCUCAUAACCAAAGGUUGUGUAGGGGCUUCAUACUAUAGCAGUAGAAACAUAAUUAGGCAAAAUGAAGCUUAAUUUAAUAUAUAUUAUAAUCUAAUAUUUCAAAAUUAAUAUUAAAAUACAAAAUUUCAUAAUGUGAGAGGCACGUAGCCGUGUCAAGGACGGAAUUAUAAAGUGUCAUUGUAACUCUAACAUAUUGAAUUUGAAUGUCUUCCAACUACUUUUAAGAAUUAGUUAUUAUUUCAAAUAACAAUCAUUUUCUUCUCCAAAUUAUUUUUUUUAUUUUCCUAAAUUAUUUUUAUUUCAAAUAUCAAUAAGUUUGUUUCAUAUUUUCUAAAAAAAUAUAAUUUGAUUUUCUAAGAAGGAAGAUAAUUUAAUUUUCUAAACGGAAGAUAAUUUGAUUUACCAGAAGAAUAAUUUGAUUUUCUAAAAGAAAGAUAAUUUUUUAAAAGAGAAAAAAAACUAUAUAAGAUAAAUCCCUAAUUUAUUUCAUAACACUCACCUAUUAUCUAAUAAACAAAUAUUAUUUUUUAUUCUUUUUAUACCAGAUAAUUUUUUCCGUUCAUCGUUAGAAUACAAGUAUCGUAUCAAUUUACCGGUAGAGUGAUCAUAAUUUUCGAUCUAUAUGAUAAAUGGUAAUACUAAUUUUGUAGAAUAAACAUAUGAAUAUGGAAUAAUAUUUUAAAAGGAAACAACAAUAGAAACCAUAGAGUUAUCUUGUUUGACAAAUAUGUAUUAAAUUAAUUAAUAUUUUUUUUAGUGUUUGUUAUAUAGUGGCCCAGUUUAAAAUUUUCUGGAUCUGCUGUUUGCUUUUGUCCUUAAUAAAUCCCUUCCGUAGUAAAAGUCAUUAUAAUAAUGCUGUAGGUUACGCUAAAAGUUAAAACUCUGCAUAAUGCACAGUAAUUUUGCAACAUUUUUGUUUUUCUUUUUGUCACAUGAAUAAUGUGGCCAUUUUUUAUUUCGUCCCAGUAUUUUCCUAUUUUUUCUUUUAGAAAAACAUGAUUCGUUUAGUACUUUUCUUUUCUUCCAUCUUGAAUAAAACAAAUAAAAUUAUACAGUAAAUCAUCAUACAUGAUGACAUGCUAAUAUUUGUUCUUGAUUUAAUCAAUCCAAACUUCAAAGUUUACAAAAUAAGGAACCCACACAUUGUAUAUAUGUUCACAAAAAUCUUAACUUACCAAUACAAAUACAUGUAUUAGGACUUUAUAUAAAGUUUCCAAACACACGAUAUAUCUUUCAAACUAGAAUGUGUACACAAAAUAUUUUUAUCCAUCCUAAAAAAGCAUGUGAUUGAUUCAUUAUUUGUUGGGUAGACAUGUGGUUGAUUUAUUGUUGUGUCUACCCACCAAUAAUGAAUAUAUUCUUAAAAAGGUUAGAUUGGAAGUUGAAGAUUGUUGAUGUCAAAUUUUGAUCAAAGGAAACACACACUUAAUCUCUACGAAACAACCGCAGUAAAUUUAUACUUAGUAAAAGAAAAAGCGGCCAAACAAAGAAAAAUGUUUUUGAUAACCAAUUCAAUAAGUGAAUUAUUUUAUUGAAGUCAAAUCAAAACUUUAUAUUUACCUCUUCAUGUGCUCAAAUUUUACCUUGUAUAUAACUAAACUACAUAAGUUACGUUAACAAUUCUUUUUAUAAAUAAUUUAUGCAUUUGAAUAUAACAAUUUUUAUUAUUGAUAAAAUAUAAAAUUUUAUUAUAUUUUGUAAAAAUUGAAAGGAGUUUGAGAAUUUUCACAAAUUUUCUUUCCAGUUAAAAUGAUAUGAAGUUAGUUAAAAUGGAUUUAUUUAAAAACAAUAGAGACAUGGAUUGCUCUUUCCUUAUUUUGAACAUAAAAAUAAAAAAUAUAGAGAAGACUUUUAGUAGGGAUCAGAGCUUAAGGCCUCAUUGAAUACUGCCCAUUCUACCAUGUUCUAGAGAGACACUUGCAAUUACUUCACCUCAUAUUAUUGUUCUUCUUCUUCUUACUUUUUAUUUUUUUUAUUUGGAUAAAAGUAUUUUUAAAAAUUUUUAUUAGUAUUUUAUGGAGGAAACUUCAUUUUCCAAUUGGUGUAUGUGACUAUGUGAUGUCAGAAAUUAAUUGAAAAUUUCUUAUUUGGUGGGAAAAGUUAAGUUCUCUCACUUUCCCAGCUAUCCGUAGAACAACCAACCAACCCACAAUUUUAAAAAUAUAUUAUUAUUCUGCACAACUCUUAAUGCCUAAGGUUCAAAUAAUUUCAGCAAAUUUGAAUUAAAAUUAUGUGCGUUAUUGUAACUUCUAGGUAUGAUGCAUUGCAUUUUUCUUUUUUUAGGAGUACAUUUAUGUAAUUUAUACGUUAACUUGGUUUUUAAAUUGAAUUCAUAAUGUUCAAAAUAAUAAUUUCAUAUGAGACUUUUUUUUUUAUUAAUUUAGUAUUGUUUUUAUAUCAGUUUACUAUAUGUAUCAGAUUAGGAUUUUUUUAAAAAAAAAUAGAUGAACAUAUAUGUUUUAGAUUUCUGUUAUUAAAAAAAUAUUUAUGAAGCUAAAUAUAACUAACAAUCCAUGUUUAAAGAUGCUGAACUUUUAACUAAUUUCAAUCAAUGAAACAAAUUCAUAGGUAUAAAAAGGAUGAACUACAUCUUUUAUAUCUUAGGUUUAACGGUUAUGAUCGUGAGGUUCUAUGGAUAAUUUAUAAUCGAUAAAAAGGUCAAAUCUUUUUCAUUAAACUUAUAUAUAUGCUCGAAUUGAAAGAUGAAUAAUUACAUUGUGGCAUGUAAAUAAAAUUUACAUUGAUAUAUCUUCUUAUUGAUCAAUCACAAUUUUCAUUCGUAAAAAAAGUUAAUAAAUUCAUUCUCAAUAAAUCUAUACGGUACAAUAUUCAAAAUUUCUUAAAUAAUUAAAAAAAAGUUAUAUUACCUGGAUAGGUUGGAUAGUAUUUAAUUCUUGUGGGUUAAAAUAACUUUUAAACUUUUGCAUUAACCAUGCAACUAAUUCAUAUAUAUAUAUAUAUAUAUAUAUAUAUAUAUAUCACAUAAAUUUGAUAGUUUGUCCUAUAUAUAUCACAAAGGUCUUCUAUAGAUGUAGCUCACAUAUAAGUUUAAUUAGUUGUCAUUUAAAAUAGAUUUCAUUUCAUUUCGAUAAAAAAUAAAGAAAGUUGGAUUUGAAUCUUCGACUGAAUGCAACAAGAUGUUACCAUAACCUAAACUAAAAUAAUAAUGUUGAAUUAUAAGGAGUUGGAGUGAAUUACUCAAAUAUUAGAGGUUGAUCAAUGGAUAUGUUUACAUAUCAGUAGGUAAAAUACAAUUAAUUGUUUGAUAGAACUUGACUACAAAAUCACGUUAGCGUGGACUACUCUUUGUUACAAAAUUAUUUAGAUGAAGGGAAGGCGUUGACUCAGGGGUAGGUAGUUGGGUGGAGUGAUCUCAGAGAGUAGAUGGAUGUAUAGAGAUCACAGCAUUAACUGUAAAUAAAGAGAUAAGAUAAUGGGUGGCUCAACUGGGAGAGUUGAGCCUCUCCCUUCAUUAUUUCAAUUUAUUCUUCUUUAUUAAAAAUAAAAAAUUGUUUGAAAGUUGUAUAGGAUUCAUUAAAUGAUAUGCCACGUACUGAUAAUUGUGUAUUAUUGUAGUAAUAAAAAGACAUUUGAUAUUAUACAAUAAUUUUGUAACAACUAAUGGAAGUAUUAGAUUUAUGAGUUAUACGAGUCCUUAAAACAAGCUUUAGGGAAAUGGUGCAAAAAUGAGAAAUAUAUAUGUACAUUCAACUUUUAGAGGAUGAUUUAUUUAAAUAUUGUAUUUUUGAAAACUUAUUAAAGAUCUGUUGGAGAGAAAAUGAAAAGGAUGGAGUGUUCAACAUGUUGAAACCUUUUAAAAAUAGAGAGAAAAAACAAAAAACAAAAACAAUGGGACACUCAGUCCAUUGAAAUUAUUAGAAAAAACAGUAAAACUUUAAAUAGUUUUGAAACUGUAAUAUUUCAUUAUUAACUUUUGAAAGCAAUAAUAUUAAUAUAUAUUUUUCUAUUUGGAUCUCAUCCCACAUGAAGGGAAUAGUUUGCGUAUAGAAUAAAUUGUUUUUCACCUACCUCUAAAUAAGAAUUAGAGUAAAAACUUUAGUACUAAUUGUUUUAUAUAUAAGAAAAAGUAGUAAGAUGUAUUUCAACCUUUCUAGCAUCACUUAUGUUAGUCCAUUCCACUGAAUUAUCUUAUCAUAAAAUAUUAUAGAACAAAUUUAAUAUUUUUUUAAUAUUUUAAUACUUUUUAUACGAACAAUGAAAAUGGAUACAUAAAAUAUAGUUAUUUAAGUAUUGUGAUCUCCCCAACUACCGGAAUUUUUAGAACCAAUGUGAUCUCCCAUAAGUUGAUGAAUGACAUUUUUUAUUCACUUUUUCCUUCCAUGAAUCAUGAAUUACUAGGUUGACUUUGAAUCCACAUUACUUUUUCCUUUUUUUCAAUAUCAUCCUUACUCUCAUUACUAAAGACCAUAGGAUUAUAUAUAUGCAAUUUUUAUUUCGGAUAUUUUUAAAUGUGAUAAAAUAAACUAAUAUUAUUGACAUAUUUUUAAUAUUUGCGGUCCGAAAAGAAAAUCAAUUAUUUUUUCAAAAUUUUAUAUUUGUCCUUACUACUUUAUAACCAUUUUUCAGUUUUUUUUUGUUUGCAUCAUUCUCUAUUCUCUUCUUUGUGAUCUUUCACAGUAUUUUUUCUUUUUUUGUAUUUCUUCUUUUCAUCUGUCUUUUUUUCUUUUUUUACAAUUUUUUUUAUUUUUUUAAAAUCAUUAUUUGGUUCAAGAUCGUUGUUUAGAUUGUGGGACAAAUAUAAAAUAAUAAAGUUAGAAUAUUGAAUAAUCAAAUCUAAACCAUACAAAUUUAAACAAAAAUAAUAAUAAUAGCCAAAUUUAAACGAUUAUUUAUCAAAUAUAAACUAUCAUUGUUUUUUCAAAUAUAUUAUGCAUGUCGAAUGUCAAAAUCAAGCCAUUUUUUAAAGUUUUUAGGCAUGUAGAUUUUUUUUCAUUUUUGAAAUUGUUUUAUACGAAAUAAAUAUUUUACCUUUCUAUUUUGGAAAAGGUCUAUUUUCAACAAAUAUCUAUCCAUGUUUAUAUAAAAUUUAAAAUUUAAAUCCCAUAAACUCAAUUUGCUUUUUUAACAUUGAAUAUAUAUUAAUUUUUUAUUCAAAAGAAUCUCAAUGUAAAAUUAGUUUAAUAUUUUUGUUACCUUAUCAUAUGUUUGUUAAAUAAUUUAAAAUAUUCUCUUCAUCAAUUCUUCCCUUUGUAGUUAACAAAUAGUUUAAUAAAGAUUUAAUGAUUUGCAUACUUACGAAUUAAUUGAUAGAAAUUGUCAGUAACAAAAAGUGAGUAUUUAAAGAAAAAUUGAAAUUAAAAGUGAAAUUAUGAAAGCUAGUAUCUAACUUGACACAAAACCCUAACCUAAAAACCAAUUUAUAGCUUAAAAUUAUGGGGUUUCUAUACAAGUAGCCUAAAAGACACAAUGGCCUUUCAUUUUACACCAAAGAUAGGCCCAGUGAGUCACUGACCAUAACACCCUCCUUAAUUUCUUGUCGUUUUUUUAUUUUAUUUUAAAAAGUAAAAAAAAAAAUUGUAACAACAUAAAUAUGAAAAAAUAAAAAAUAAUUCAUUGCAUUCAUUUCAAAUUUGACUCUACAUAUUUAUUAUAUUUAUUGUUUUAUUUUAUGUUGAUUUUUAUUUUAUUUUCCAUAUCAAUUUUAUUUAUUAUCAUUUGUUAUCAGUUUGUUAUAUUGAUUCUUUAUAUGAUUUUUCUUUUCAUUCCUAUGUUUUGAUGUUGCUAGAGGUUUUUUUUAAUUUAUAUUUUUAGCUUUUUUAUUUUUUAUUCUACAAAGUCUAUAAUUUUUCGAAAAUAUACUGUAACUUUUUUUUACAAACAUAUUAAAAAAUGAAAAUACUCAAGGAUGGUUUGAGAAUUUAAAUAAUUGAAAAUUUAAAACAAUUGUGGAAUAAUAUAGUUAGAUUAUGCCAUUCCUCUAAACUUUUCUAAAAUUAUAAUAUUUCGACAUUGUGACCAAAUCCAUAACGGUUAGAUACAACCUUUUGAAACUUAAAAAUCAAAUAAAACUGACACCAACUCCUACGUGGUGCUAGUUUAAACUUAAUCCAUAUUUAGUUCACUUGACUCUUCUUCACUUAGCUCGUCACAUAAAUAUUGAUUAUGUUCAUUGUCGGCAUCCCUUCUUGCAUUGCCUUUUCUUUACAAGGAGUUGUUUGAUUCCUUCUGCUUCUUCACGAUAUCUCAAAAUGCCUACUCAAGCUUAGUUCUACUAACUUCAAAUUUUAAUUACAAGAAACCCCUCCUUCAUUAGUACGCGAGUUUCACAGCUCUUUCUCCCUUUAGGGAUUUCAAUCAAAAUUUCACCUCCUCCUUUCCUUUAUUUAAACUUGGCCCGCUCGUGUUGAUUGUUGCACUCAGUGGAAGACCCCUCCUUGUUAAUGUCUUGUUUUGCUUUUUCUUGGCAUUCCUUUGACACUUCAAAAUCAAAUGAAAUCUAGAUUAAAAAAACAUAAAACAAUCAAAUAGUAUUACUUUUCUGUCAAAUAUUGGCUACCUCAGUCAACAUUUAAGUGUAUUAGUAACUGAUAUCAAAAUUUUGAAUUCCCAACCCUCGACAGUGUGUGUGUAUAUAUAUAUAUUAUCUUCGCCUUUUUCUUUGAACAACACUACUCUCUCAUCGAGUAUUUAACCCAUCUCUUCGCUUGAGUAACUCAUUCAAUUAUUUCUCUCUUCAUUCUCUACCUGGCAUUAUAUUUCAACUAUCGGUGUUGCCUUCUUCUCUAAAACCUGAAGUCCAUACCUACAUCAGAUUCCAAUUUCUCCAUUCCAACACAAAUCUCUCCUCCAUAACCAAUGGAAUCUGCUCCAAAGCUCAAGCAAAACCAUGGCUGCACUUUCCUCCAUUCCACUCAAUUGUUGAUAAGCGUUCUCUCGUCUUUCUUCCAACUUCAAAACUUCUUCAUUCUCAUUCUCCUCGUUUCCAUGGAAACUUACAUUUUCUUAAAUGGAUGGAAUCCCAUUUCCUAUUUCUUCCUCCUAUUGUCUUCUUAUACUUUCUGCAAAUACAUCAUUAAGCUUCCCAUUCUGAAUGCUCCUCGUCCUGUCUAUUUAGUUGACUUCUCAUGCCUCAAACCACCAAGCUUCUGCAGGGUUCCCUUCUCUCUUUUCCUUGAAAAUGCAACGUUGAUGAAUACUUUCGACAACAACAGCCUCAGUUUCAUGGCCAAAACUCUCAAAUCUUCAGGACAGAGUGAAGAAACAUGCCUCCCUCCAGCCCUGCAUUUCAUACCACCCAAAACCCAUCAACAAGAAUCCAUUCAUGAAGUUCAUAUGGUACUAUUUCCUGUCAUGGAUGAUCUUUUAACCAAAACCCAUCUCUCUCCUUGCGACAUUGAUAUUCUUAUUGUUAAUUGCAGUGGCUUUUGCCCUUCUCCUUCCCUGUCAUCCAUAGUCAUCAACAAAUAUUCCAUGAGAAGUGAUAUUAAAAGCUAUAACCUCUCUGGAAUGGGGUGCAGUGCAAGUGCUGUUGCCAUUCAUUUAGCUGAAAAUCUUCUUCAAGUACACGAAAACUCAAAUGUUGUUGUUCUUAGUACAGAAAUUCUAUCAAACGGUUGGUAUGCAGGAAAGGAACACUCCAGACUAAUCCUCAAUUGCUACUUCCGUAUGGGCGGUGCGGCUAUUUUACUCACCAACAGAAAAGAGGCGAAACUUUUUUCAAAAUAUAAACUAUUUAAAACCCUUAGAACACAGACAUCCUACGAUGAUAGAAGUUACCUUUCAGCCAUACGCGAAGAGGACAAGGAAGGAAAACUCGGAGUCUCUGUAACAAGAGAUACGCUUCAGGUUUUCCCCGAAACACUCCGUAUCAACAUAACCCUUCUGGGUUCUUCAAUAUUGCCGCUGUCUGAGAAACUCCGGUACGUCGUUUCGAGGCUACGGAAGCGAUUCGUGGAUAAAUCGCAAGAAAUUUACAUACCGAAUUUCAAGAGGGUGAUUCAACAUUUUUGCUUGCCGGUGUCGGGGGGUGCGGUGAUAAGGGCGAUAGGAAAUGUGCUGAAGCUGAACGAUAAGGAAGUGGAAGCGGCAUUAAUGACUCUGCAUAGAUUUGGGAAUCAGUCGUCAUCGGCGCUAUGGUAUGAACUUGCGUACUUGGAAGCAAAAGAAAGAGUUGAAAAAGGUGAUAAAGUUUGGCAAAUUGGGAUGGGUACUGGGCCCAAAUGUGUUAGUUUGAUUUGGGAGUGUAUUCGGCCCAUUUUAGGAGAGUCCAGUAAUGAUCCAUGGGCCGAUGUGAUCGAUCGGUAUCCCAUCUUAGGCCCAUCAACUUAGAUCUUAAUGGCAUUACUAAUCUACUUUUAUCUUCUUCUUUUUCUAAUUAAGCAAAAUAGCUUUACCUCAAGCAUCUUAAAAGUAUACUUAAAGGGUGAAUUCUGCAAUUAGUCCUGUGGUUCUUCUAUUUCUGUCUUCAAAAUCCAAAAAAACGUUUAUAUGUCUAAUUAUCAUCCAAAUAUAUCUAUUAGUAGAAAUAACCUUACUCAUAUAAUCGUCCUAUAUUACUUACAUUUUAAUGUCAUUGAGAUGGAAAUAGAAUUGAAUUGCUCUAAUUAGGUAUUAGAAAAUCACAUUAGUCAUGUCCAACAUUUUCACCAUAACAACUUUAGUUGAUUUUGUUAUAAAGAUGACAAUUAUCAUUGUGAGUUUAAUGAUGAUAGAAUGAUUAUAUUCAAGGAGUUUAUGAGUUAUCUAGAGUGAAAAUAAGUAACUAAUAUUUUGAAAAAUAUUUAACUAAAAUUAAGUAUAGUGAAAGUGACAUUGUGUGUUAUCAUUGUUAAUAGUUGAAUUAAUGGUAGAGUAAUUGACUAUGAAGGAGUGGAGUGGGCUAAAAUAGCUCACUCCAUGGUUGCCUCAAGGAUUAUCAUAAUCCUAGAAUUAUGACUCUUUUAUUUUUUUCCUUAUUUCUCCUAUUCCUCACUCCCUUCUUUCACUAUUCCUCACUCCCCUUCACUAUUCUGCCCCCCUCAUCUUUCUUAUAUGUUAUAAUUCCUUACUCUUCCAUUUCAUUAUUUCUCAUUUUCAGAAACAUAAAUUAUAAUAACUCGAACUAUAAUAGUAUGCAUUCCAAACACAAACUAUAAUAGCUCCAUAAACUAUUAUAACUCAUAAAAUAUAAUAAUCACAAAUUAUAAUAACUUACUUCACACUCAAAUAUCCUCUUUAUUUUUAUCUAUGAGGUUUGUCAUUUGUAUAAAAUUAACUGUGAUUAAAGACCAUCUAACAUGUAGGAGAUAAUGAGUUUAGGUCCCUCAUGCAAUAUGUCUCUUUCCUUUUUCCCUUUCCCCAUCUUUUCAUUGUAAUCGCCUCCGCUGUUGUCAUUGAUUUAUUUUCUUCCUUUCAUUCAAGUCUAAAAAAAAUGUGAACAACAAGGAAUGUGAUGAUCUUAAACUAGUCAAUUAAUCACAAGAAUUCUCAUGCAAAGAAACACAGUAAGUGAAUAUAUUUUUUAAAUUUUAGAGUAAAAAUGUUAAUAAAAAAUCUAUAAUAAAAUGGUAUUAAAUAAUAAAUUUAAGAUUAAUUGAAAAUUAAAAAGUUAAAACUAUUGAACAUGAACUAAAACCAAAGUUGUAUUUUAAUAAAAGAAUAAAAAGAAUAGUGUUUGAGUUGAAAAAGAAAAAUAAGUGUUUGAGUGAGAAGAUUGAAGAGCACAUUAAAAGGCUUCAACCCAUCAUGUUGGGAAGGAGAGAGUACACAUUCUUAAUAACCCUGCCUUCCAAUUCGCCAAUUUGAAUUCUCACCGACUUAUUCAUCAUUUCUCAUUUAAUGCCAAAAAUAAAUUUGGUACUUCCCAACUAUAUUUUCAACACUUAUAUAUACACGCACCUUUUUUCAUAGCUUUGUGUUAUUGUUAUUCACAGCGUAGGAAGAAAUCUUUUCAUUCUCAUUUUGAGUUUUUAGUAUAAUUUUGGACAUACUGAUAUGUAUCUUGACAAAACAAAAAGGCAUUGGUUCAAAUCCAAUUUUAAUUUUAAAAAACUAAUCAAUAUUUGGUAUCCUUUAAUAUUUUAAUUAGUAUGGUGUGUGUAUAUAUGUGUGUUGUUUAGAAGAGGAAAAGUCAAUUAUUAAGGAGCUUGUAGGAUUUUUAUUUGAAAAAGUGUUAAAAUUUUGAAAGGUAAUUAGAAUAGGUAGAAAUUUUAGGAAAAAUAAUUAAGUGUACAAUAAUAUUUUAAAUAAAUUACAAAUAUAGGUUUUUCAACCUGUUUUACAUGAGUAAUACACAUGUAUCAAUGAUAGAUUUUAACAAAUUUUGUUAUAUUUACAAUUUGUUUAAAACGUAAGAUAUUUUUAAUCUAAUUUCUAUGUAUGAAACUAUCCUAAAUUUGUCCAAUUAAUUUAAAUUUAGCAAAAGUAAGCUGUUCAAACGAACGUGAAAAUGAAAACAAGAAUUUGGAAAAGGAAGAAAAAAAUAAAAAUUGAAAAUCAAACCGAACAAAAAUCAAUCAUUUGAAAUUUAUAGAUGUACACGAUACACCAACUACAGCGGUUGGUCAUUUAGUUUAGUGUAGUCUUUCCAUUGAUAUCGGUUAUCUUAAAGGAAUGAUUGUAAGUUCAUUGGUCGAUCCAUAUAAAAGAGAAAAAGAACUUCCGUCUUGGACUCUAUCGGUUCUUUGCUCUCCAUCCUUCACAAGACUAACUACUAGAAAAAGAGAGAAACUGACAUAUCUGAUCGACUAAAAUAAUUUUUCGUUGGUUGGCUGCCCUACAUAGUAGUCUGCGGAUUCCAAUGUUAGUUUUUUUUUUUUCUCUCAAAAUAAAUACUGGCCAACUGAUGUAUACCUCUAGUUGAAACUUUAUACUUUUCUAACAACAUUGAAAUUAGGUUCAUAUUCAAAACAUGACUCCAGAAAAUUAGGAUUCAAUUAAAAAGAGAAACUAGGAACAUUUUCAAAGUCUUUUACCAAAAAGAAAAAAUCCAAAGAGCAUGAAGAAGGUUGUAUCAUAUGUUUAAUUGGGUAUAACAUCCUUUCCAAUUACAUCUCUAAUAUUUUGAGAGAGGAAUUUAUUUGAUAGCAAAAACAAAACCAUGAAGACUGGUGAUUAAUAAUAUCAUAUCAUUUUUAAAAUAUGUGAAAAAUACAAUGUCUUUAAGAGUGUUUGAGCAAGAAGUGAUAGACUUUCAAAGAAUAAUAUGAUUGGAGGUUGAGCUUUGAACAGGUGGUGUGCUCCAAUGACAAAGAGUUGACCAGAAUAAAAGUUAGAUGGAUACGUGAUUAUUCAAGGGACGCUAGAGUGGUUUCUUCUUCAAGGAACACAAAACUCAAAUUUUAACCUAAUAGAUUAAAAAAAAAAAACCUCAAAAUUGAUAGCUGUUUUUUGUUUUUUAACUCACUGUCAAUAGUAAUUACGUCCGGGUGAUGCAUGGCAUCAAAUUUAAAGUUCCCACCUGUUGACUGCCAGCGGCACAUCGAGCAAAGCAAAUUAGCAAACUUGGAGAGCCCGUUUCGACCUUCAUUUAACAUCCACUUUCAUUUCUUCAACACGAUUCAAAUUCCCAUUCCUCCAUUGCCAUCUCUUCCCCAAUGGAUUCUUCUCCCAACCAUUUCCUCCUCCGUUAUUCCGCUCAAUUACCUCAUACCCCUUUCAUUAUUCUCAUCCCCAUACUAACUUCCAUUGAAGCCUAUCUGUACUUCUCACAUGCAUGGCAUCCCCUUUUCCAUAUCUUCCCACUGUCUUUCCUUGUCGUCCUCAUCAUCUUCAAUCUUGCUUCUCCUAAUUCAGUGUACUUAGUUGACUUCUCAUGCCUCAAACCACCAAGCUUCUUCAGGGUUCCCUUCUCUACUUUCCUUGAAAAUGCCACUUUGAUGGAUAUUUUUGACAGUGAGAGUAUCAGUUUCAUGGCCAGAACUCUCAAGUCUUCUGGACAGAGUGAACAAACUUGUCUCCCUCCAGCCCUGCAUUUCAUACCACCCAAAACCCAUAUACAGGAAUCCAUUAAUGAAGUCCACAUCGUACUGUUUCCUGUCAUGAAUGACCUUUUAACCAAAACUCAUCUCUCUCCUUCCGACAUUGAUAUUCUAAUUGUUAAUUGCAGUGGCUUUUGCCAAUCUCCUUCUCUGUCAUCCAUAGUCAUCAACAAAUAUUCUAUGAGAAAUGACAUUAAGAGCUUUAAUCUCUCUGGAAUGGGGUGUAGUGCAAGUGCUAUUGCCAUUCACUUGGCUGAAAAUCUCCUUCGAGUUCACAAAAACUCAAAUGCAGUCGUGCUUAGUACAGAAAUUUUAUCGAACGGUUGGUACGCAGGAAAAGAACGCUCCAAAUUGAUCCUUAAUUGCCUAUUCCGAAUGGGCAGUGCAGCUAUUCUGCUCUCUAACAAAAAACAAGCGAAAGAAUCUUCAAAAUAUAAACUGAUUAAAACGCUCAGAACACAGAGAGCUUUCGAUGACAAAAGUUACCUAUCAGCCUUACGCGAGGAGGACAGGUACGGAAAACUCGGCGUCGCUCUGACACGGGAUUUACCCCAUGUCGCCGGAGAAACUCUCCGAUCAAACAUAACGAUUCUGGGUGCUUCAGUUUUACCGUUGUCGGAGAAACUACGGCAUGCGGUUUCGAGGCUAAGAAAGCGAUUCUUGGACAAAUCGCAAGAUAUUUACAUUCCGAAUUUCAAAACGGUGAUUCAGCAUUUUUGCCUGCCGGUGUCGGGGGGUGCGGUGAUAAGGGAGAUCGGAAAAGUGCUGAAGCUUAACGAUAAGGAUGUGGAAGCGGCAUUGGCGACUCUUCAUAGAUUCGGGAACCAAUCGUCUUCUUCGUUGUGGUAUGAACUUGCUUAUUUGGAAGCAAAAAGAAGAGUUGAAAAAGGAGAAAGAGUGUGGCAAAUUGGAAUGGGCACUGGGCCCAAAUGUGUUAGCUUGAUUUGGGAGUGUAUUCGGCCCAUUUCUGGAGAGUCCAAUAAUGAACCAUGGGCCGAUGUAAUUGAUCGGUAUCCAAAUCUAGGCCCACCAACCUAGCUCUUUAAAAUGUCUCUUUUAUCCAUAUGGUUUUGCACCUAAUGUCAUAACCAACGAAUAAAAUUCCUUUUUUUCUCUCCUUGAUUUCAUAUGAAAAAUGUAUAUAUUUGUAUGUGUGAAUUAGGUUUUUCUAUUUUAUUUUAUAGUUUUUUUCUAUUUAUGAAAUACUAUUUUGAUUUUUAACUCUUAAUUAAGUUUAUUUUAGUCCAAAAUUUUUCAAAGGUUCAUUUUGGUCAUUUGAGUUUUGUUCCAUUUUUAUUUCUAGGGUUUGGAAAUGCAUAUUUUAGUCCUAAUUUUCCUUUUCAGAAAAAUCAAUUUGGUACUUGCUGUAUUAAUAUUUUUCUACCUACCCAAAGCUUGUCUCUAAAUUAUAUAGCUUAAGAUCAUGCUCAUCUUUUAGCACGUGUACACAUAAUGAUCAAAAUUCUCAUUUUAAUGGGUUGAAAAUAAAAUAAAUGUAAGAACUAAAACAAUAAUUAUUCAAGAAAGAAAAUUUUAAAAUAUCAUGGAUCAAAAUAGUACAAAUUCAAAAUUGAUGAAGGAAAGUUGGAGACAUAAAAGGAAAUCUAACUUAAGAGCCCAUCUAACUUAAGAGCACAUUAGUGACUACCGUCGGCAACGACAAAAAGAUCCUUUACAAUAAUAUUCAAUACCAUCCACCUUUAGCAUAAAUUUUCAUUUUCAUUUUUUUUUUUUCUUAACCACAUGACCUAAAAGAUCCUCGUACUAGUAGAGAGUUAAUUAACUUCAUUGACUCUACGUUCUUAACCAAUAUUAAAAUAUAUAUUGGUAAGAGAAAGAGUGAAGUAUAUUGUUUCACAUUUAAUUAAAUAUGAAGAAAAAAGGGUUGAGUUUGAAAAGUUAUUUUUGCCCUAGCUUGUGAGGCUAAAGUUUUAGACUUUAUGAAAAGAAAAUGUUUGCUAGAAGUAAGUGGUACAAUUGAAUGAGUAUGUUAAUAGUUAUAUGGAUGGUGAUGCAAUAGAAUAAUAAUUGGCAAUGUCAACUAAGAGAAUGUAUAAGUAGGGUUGUAUACCUAAUUUGUUCAAAAUUAAAAUUCUAUUAUUGCAUGAUCUUGUGCCCAUCUAAAAAUACAAAGUACCUUAUAAACUCUUGUGUAUAGAGAGGAUCUAAUUCCAACCAAACAAUUAUGUCAGAUAUUGAAUAUAUAUAUAUAUAUAUAUAUGAACUUUUUCUCAAUAAUAUUCAUGAAAAUAUGUUUGAAUUUUUUGAGUUGCUAUAGAUUGUAAAUGUCGGUGAGUUCUACACUAAUUUUAAAGACAUACCAACAUGACAUAUAAUAAAUGAAUGGAGAGAAAUUUUCUCCAUUUUUUUAGGUGAAGUUGCAAUAACUUUUUAUUUUGUUUUUUAGUUGUAAUUGUUAAAAAAAUAAAUAUUAAUCAUAUGUAACAUAUGCUAAAAGAGCUCAAAUUAUUAUACAAUAUAUCAACUUUCAACAAGCUUAUUGAAUUUGUAGGUAAUGUUAUCAGAAUUUAUUUAAGUACUUUGUUUACAAUAAUAAUAAUAAUAAUAAUAAUAAUAAUUUAUCUAAAAUAGAUUAUUAAUAUUAAUUGUUUGUUUAAAACAUCCUUUCAAAUAUAACCAAAUGAAAAAAUAUAACUUAUAAAUAUAAUAAAAUAUAAAAAAUAUAUGAAACUAUAAAUUUUAAGCAGUUUUAUUAUUUAAUUUUUUUAACUUGAAUGGGGAUGGAUCAAAUGUAUUUGAUAAAUAUAUUUGGUUAAAAAAGGGUCAAUUUUUUUAAAAAAAUAACUAUUUACUAAAUAUUGUAAGAUUUUGUAUUAUAUUUGCAAUAAAUAUUAAUAGAUUUUUAUUAGUGGUAUUAAUAUAAUCUACUAUGGAUCGUUAUUGAUAUAAUAUAAAAUUUUGUUAUAUUUCAUGAAAUAUUUUCACUUCGUUUUUUAAAAUAUUAAAAAAAUAAAAAAAAAUGAGAAGACAGAUGUAGAUUGGAGAGGCCAAUAAGGAUAGGGAAAUUAUUAAUAGCCAAGUUUAAGAGAAAGAGUAUCGAAAAGGUAAAAACCAAUGUGUGGUUAAGUUUACAAAGUGGACAAAAAUGAAUAAUAAUAAUUAGGAGGGGUUGAGUUGAAUAAUGAAUCAAACCCUACAACAUGCUUCAAAUAUCCAUUUCAUAACUGCAAAAGAAUGCGUUUUCUUUUUUGCUACUUAUAGUUUUAAUGCACUUAAAUUAAAUAAUGAUUUUAAAUUUUGUUUAAAAUUCUCUGAACAUAAAAGUAUAGUUAAGAGAGAUGCUUAUACUUUUACUUUUAGUAAUGAAAAAUAUACAGGAUGUCUUCCAUUAUAAUUGAGUUACAUUUUCAUUUCAAAUUAAGUGAAAAUGGUGAGAUUAUUUAUAUCAAACCUUUGAGUAAAUUAAAUACAACCUUGUAACAUCUUCUAGUUUGUAAUUAUUAACCUCCAUUUAAUGAUUGUAAUUAAUGUAAAUGGAUAUAAUGAUCAAAACCUCAAAUCAAAUCAAUAUUUCUUCCAUAGUACUUAAAUUAACAUUUUAUUAAAAGUAAUUAAUGUAAUUUUAAAUAAAUAACAACUAGUUUAUCAAUAACUUUAGAAGUUGGAUUGCUUUAUAUAUAUAUAUUUCUAAACUUUAAUUGAUAAUUUAACUUGGGCUAUUUUCUCUUAUUUAGUUCUUACCUGGUAUAAAAUAAGAAAAUCAAUAUCUAUUUUUCAUGUUUUGAAAGGAGAAAAAGUGUAUGUUUAUUAAUUAUUAGAACAAAAAAAUAGGUAACAAAUAAAAUUUUAAAAAUUAUCUUGCAUCAAAAAAAAAAAAAAUGUAAACAAAAUUUACACAAUAUAUCUAAGACAUAUUAUAUGAAACGUGAUUUUUUUCUCUUUGAUCCGUGGUUGAGAUCAAAUACAUUUUUGAAAGUAUAAACACAUUAAUAUUAAAUAUAUAAUUUAAGGGAUGCAAUGUGUUGUUGAUCAAUUGAAAGUUUAACCAUACAAUGUAGAAUUAUUCUUUUUAAUUGGAUAACAUAGUUGCAAAACUUCACAAAUAGUCAAAAUUGUGUUGUAAUCAAUUUGGUAUUUUUUUUUAUUAUUAUUGAUUUAAAAAAGAUGACCAACAAAUGCGUGUAGAUUGACCUUAAUACAUAGACUAAUGUUUUAAUUUUUGAUUUAUCGAGAGGGGUGAAGAAGUCCAAAAAUUAUUUUCUUCUUGGCUGUUUUUAAGAUAGUAAGAAGUAAGAUAUUUCUUAUUUUAGGUUAGACCAUUCAUUCACAUCCAUUCAACUAAAAUUUAUACAACAAUAAUAAUCCACGUACGUUUAACGUCGUUGAUAGGUGUUAAAUAAUAGAGACUAGAUGUAAAAAUGAGUUUAGGUACAUAAUAAUUGUUAUAACUUUUGUACCUAAACGUUGAAGAUACGACGACCAAUUUAACCCCUGUGUUAACAGAAAAAUAGAUAAGGAUUAGACUAAAAUAUACUUGAGAUAUUAAAGGUGAAGCUGAAAAAGAGGGCAAAUUGUGGUGGGAAAUGGACAUAAUUCCACACAUAGCUAACCAAACCCUCUAUUGGUUGUGUGUUUAGUUUUAGAUUUAGGGCCUUAAUUGUGGUAUAGGAUGUCAUGUCAUAGUCACAAGGGGGAUUAGAAGAGGAUUGAUAAUUAAUAAAAUUCCAUUAUUUUCUGAUUAUGCCACUUUAGAAGUGUCUCAAAAGAAGAUUUAAGUGAAAUGUUACCCUUAAAAAGUGAUAUGAUUUGACUCACCUAAGUUUCCUUUUACACGUUAAAAAUUAUGCCUACUGUACAUUAAACAUAUAUUAGUUUUCUUAGAUAUCUCAACUCUUAAAACAGGAAAGUUAAUCCUAAUUUUCUAUCUCAACUAUAAAUGUUGUGCAUUUCUUUUAUCUAUUAAGGAUAUGGAAAAAUACUAUAAAAAUAUAAUAUUCCUUUUAUUUAUGCUAUUAUUUUGAAAAAGAUUCACAUUACGACUAAUGAAUGAGAAUAGUAUUUAUAUUAGAGUUGGUACGUAUAGAUAAACUUCCCAAAAUGUUAUUCUAUAGGCUUCAUCCUAAUAUAAAUAUUGUUAUACUUAAAUAUUCAAUGUUUUCUCCACUUUUGGCCCUUCUUUUUGCACUCCAAAUUCCCACACAAUAUUUAUUCGAUAUCUUUAUUUAGACUAAAAUUUUAAAUUUCAUUCCAUUUAUGUAAUUGUGAAGUUUUUUCUAUGUACUUAUAUUUUAAAAGUUAAUUUCUAUUGAAUUUGGCUUAAUAAUAAUGUAAUAAGUGAAUAUGCUUACAAAUUUUAUAGUAAAAAUAUUUAUAGAUGAUAAAAAAUUAGGGAAAACUCAACCAAAAACUAAAAUUCUGACAUUUGAAAAUACAUAAAAUAAAAUUAAACAAAUCCAGAAUAUAGCACAGAGAUGACAGUUUAACAACGUUUUACAUUAAAUCCUACCUUUUUUUUCAAACAUUAAAAUCUACCUUUUUUAAAAUAAAAAUAAAAAAACUUAUGGUGUAGAUAUUAUUCAGUAGACAUAGAAAUUGUCGGUUUUGAAUGUAAAAGUUGAAAUUUCUCUACUCCUAAAAUUUGAAAAAGUUUCAAUUAUUUACUCUCUCUCUUUUUUUAAAUUUUUUGUUUCUUUCAAUUUUUCCAUUUGAAACAAUAAGAAAAGAAGUAAAAAAAGAUAAUAAUAAUAAAUGAAGAAUAGAAAUUCAUAAUUAUAAUGGUCAUGGCAAUAAAAACAGGGGACCAUUAUACAUAACCAAAUUAACUUCUAACCACCAAUACUGAUACCCUUCUUCAAUUUUGGCAUUCAUGAAACAACCACUCUUCUUUAUUACACUCACCUCCAUUCUCACAACUCCCCCAUUCCCUCUUCAUUUUUCACAAACACACUCCUUUCCUCUGUUCCCAAAAAUGGCUGAUUCUCCUCUCAAAUGCCUGUGUUUCCUUCUGUUUUUAGACUCUUUCCUUCUUUCAAGUGCUCUGUUUCUCAAAACUUAUGUUGUUCAAAUGGAUAGGUCUGCAAUGCCGGACUCUUUUACCAAUCAUUUUGAGUGGUACUCCAAUGUGCUAACCAAUGUGGUUCUUGACCUUCAAAGAGAAGGUAAUGGUGGAGGAGGUGAAGAGAGGAUCAUUUACGGUUAUCACAAUGUUUUCCAUGGAGUUGCAGCUCGAUUGAGUGAAGAAGAGGUUGAGAAGCUCGAGGAAGAAGAUGGGGUUGUGGCUAUUUUUCCUGAGAUGAAGUACGAGCUUCAUACUACUAGAAGCCCCAGAUUUCUUGGGCUUGAACCAGCUGAUAGCAACAGCGCCUGGUCUCAGCAAAUUGCAGACCAUGAUGUGGUUGUUGGAGUCUUGGACACUGGGAUUUGGCCGGAGAGUGACAGCUUUGACGAUGCUGGAAUGUCGCCAGUGCCGGCGCAUUGGAAAGGGGAAUGUGAAACAGGGAGAGGGUUUACGAAACAGAAUUGUAAUAGAAAGAUCGUUGGGGCCAGAGUGUUUUACCGUGGGUAUCAAGCUGCAACUGGGAAAUUUAACGAACAGUUGGAGUACAAAUCGCCGAGGGAUCAAGAUGGGCAUGGAACUCACACGGCAGCUACCGUCGCUGGCUCUCCGGUGGCCGGCGCAAGUCUUCUUGGUUAUGCUUAUGGAACGGCCAGAGGAAUGGCGCCCGGAGCUAGAAUUGCAGCUUACAAGGUCUGUUGGAUUGGUGGCUGCUUUAGCUCCGACAUUUUGUCGGCUGUUGACAGAGCUGUGGCCGAUGGAGUAAAUGUUCUGUCCAUCUCUUUGGGAGGUGGGGUUUCUUCGUACUAUCGCGAUAGUCUCUCCGUUGCAGCAUUUGGGGCAAUGGAGAUGGGCGUGUUUGUUUCUUGCUCGGCUGGAAAUGGAGGGCCGGACCCUGUCAGUCUCACGAAUGUAUCACCAUGGAUAACUACCGUCGGUGCCAGUACAAUGGACAGAGAUUUCCCGGCCAUUGUCAAGCUCGGCGAUGGCAGAACAAUAACCGGCGUUUCACUUUACAGAGGAAGAAUCACAAUUCCAGAAAACAAACAAUUCCCAAUUGUCUACAUGGGGAGUAACUCGAGCAGCCCUGAUCCGAGCUCGCUCUGUUUAGAGGGAACUUUAGAUCCCCAUUUCGUCGCCGGAAAAAUUGUGAUAUGUGAUCGGGGAAUUAGCCCUCGGGUCCAGAAGGGUGUGGUGGUGAAAAAUGCAGGUGGGAUUGGGAUGAUUCUGUCGAACACGGCGGCAAAUGGGGAAGAACUUGUUGCCGAUUGCCAUUUAGUACCGGCUGUCGCCAUUGGGGAAAGAGAAGGCAAAGCAAUUAAACAGUACGCAUUAACGAAUCGAAGAGCGACGGCGACAUUAGGGUUUUUAGGGACAAGAUUAGGGGUAAAACCGUCGCCGGUGGUGGCGGCGUUUUCAUCUAGAGGACCAAAUUUCCUCACUCUUGAGAUCCUAAAGCCGGAUCUGGUGGCUCCUGGCGUUAAUAUCCUCGCCGCUUGGACCGGAAAAACAGGACCGUCGAGCUUAACGACGGACACAAGAAGGGUCAAAUUCAACAUUCUUUCAGGAACUUCAAUGUCUUGCCCUCACGUCAGCGGCGUAGCGGCUCUAAUCAAAUCGAAGCAUCCCGAUUGGAGCCCGUCGGCGAUUAAAUCCGCACUGAUGACCACCGCUUACGUUCACGAUAACACAUACAAACCUCUGAAAGACUCCUCCGCCGCAUCACCGUCAAGUCCAUACGACCAUGGCGCCGGCCACAUAAAUCCUAGAAAAGCCCUAGAUCCUGGUUUGGUUUACGAAAUUCAGCCGCAAGAUUACUUCGACUUCCUCUGUACGCAGGAUUUAAGCCCAACACAGCUGAAAGUCUUCUCAAAAUAUUCAAACAGAACAUGCCGUGGUCUUCUCCCCAACCCAGGAGACUUGAAUUACCCAGCAAUCUCCGCCGUUUUCCCUGAGAAAACCACCGUCACUUCGCUGACCCUUCACAGAACCGUCACGAAUGUGGGCCCUGCAACCUCCAGUUACCAUGCGGUGGUGAGUCCGUUCAAGGGGGCCACCGUGAAAGUUGAGCCGGAGAGUCUGAAUUUCACAAGAAGGUAUGAAAAGGUUUCUUAUAGAAUAACUUUUGUGACGAAGAAGAGACAGAGCAUGCCAGAAUUUGGAGGGUUGAUUUGGAAGGAUGGAAGUCAUAAAGUGAGAAGCCCCAUUGUGAUUACUUGGUUGUCGUUUGUUUGAAUUUCAGUUAUACGUUUGGUGAUCAAUCCUCAAAGUUGCUCGUUUUGUUAAGAAUUAUUUCGUUGCUGCCACUCGGAAACAUAUGGGAUUUCAAUUUUAUUACUCUCUCCAUGGAACUUCAUGCCUUUUGCAAUUCAAUUUUGCUAUUAUAAUUCCUCAUUCUCAGAAAUAAAUAAAAAAAACAAGGAAAAUUAAUGUUAUUUAAACCAAAAAUAACUAUUUUUAUGUGACAAGUAUUUAUCUUAAUGUCAAUGUUUAUUCAACUUCUUUUUCUUUUACAUUUAUCUCUCUAAAUCACAUGUCUUUAAAUUUUGUAUAUAAGUAAAGUUUGGUUUAUAAUGAUUUAGUUAUGUAUUCUUUUUUUUCAAUUUUGUUACAGUUAGUCUCUUCACUAAACUAUGUAACAACUCAAUUUUAUUGUUUAUUAAUGUUAAGAUAUUGCAUAAAAAAACUCCACUUUAAUUAAUAAAGAGUCUAACUUUGAAUUUACAUUACUAUAGGAGCCAAUAUUCAAAUGUUUAAUUUUUUUUUUCUUAUUCUAAAAAUCGUGGAAUGAAAAAUCAAACAUAGUAAUUAGUAUUUUAUGUACCAAAUUAUUGGCAAAAAGAAUUUAAAUUUCGGUUGAGUAGUGACUAAACUAUCAAUUUGGUACAUAUAUAGAAUAAAAGUCCUUAUACCUUCUGGUCAUAAUUGCAGUUAUUCAAUUAGUCAACAACCAAAAAGAAUAGUAAUUACAUCAAGCAAAUUUAAUGUAAAAAAUCUCCUCAACGUGAGGAAAAAAACCAUUGAUGAAAGUUAAUAUCUCCACUCUAAGUCUAUAAUGAAUAAUGGAUCCAACAAAUUCUAUUAGUUAUAUCUCCAGACAUACAAAACAUCCAAAUAAUAUUCACGUAACAAACACUAGCAACCAAUUACCAACUUUAGGUAGUUUCAAAAAAUAAAUUUUCUCUAUCUAAAUUAAAGAUACUCAAGUCAAGAAUAGUACUAUGUAAAAGUAAUUACGAAAUAACCUCUAAAAGGCUACUUCCUAUUUUAAAACAAAAUCAAAUGCCAUACGUGUAUUAGAAUUUAAUAUGCAUAGGAAUUGGUCAAAUAGCAGUUGUUUAUUGGUUAAUUAUAAAGUUGCUCUUUCCUUACGUACCAAUGUUGAUAGAAAUAUGGAUAUCUUAGACGAAAUAUCUCUAAAAUUCCAAUUUUGAUUGAUAUCUUUUAAAAAGUAAAAAGAAAAAAAAGAAAAACAAAAUUUAAACAGAUAAAUAAACAUUGUUUUAUGAUUCUAAAAUAGAUUGGUAUAUCUAUUAUUUAGAUUACACUUACAUUGGUAAUAUUUUGUUGUUUAAUUAUUAUCUUUCGUGGAUCAAUUUAAAUAAUUAAAAUUCGAUAAAUAUUUGAUUUAAAGUUUUUUUAAAAUUAAGUUUGUAAUACUCUUUCUGCUUCUAAAUUUACUGUCUUCUUGUUUACUUGUUAGAACCAAGCCAAAUUUUGAAAGAAAACAAAAUAAAUUUUUAAAAAAUAGAUUGUUGUUAUUUUUAGAAUUUAGCUAAAAUAUAACUCUUUGAUAAAUAUAAAAAACAAUAUUGUGCUCGAUAUUUUUCCAUGUGUAUUAAACAGUAGUUUGAAUGACCCACCUCUAUUUAGUUCACAAUUUAUGGUCCCUUCAAAACAAACAAGUACCAAAUGAAUAAUUCAAAAUAUAGAAAUGAGACCCAAAAUUGACGUGUUAAAUUUUUUACCACUACAAUUAUUGAAAUCAAAUUUAUCAAGCAUGUAGUUCAAUGUAAAUGAAUAGAACCCCGUAUUUAAUUUUCUUAGUACAACAUGCAUGCAUGCUCAAUUAUAUCAAAUUGUAUGUGUUCGCACGAGAUUUCCGGAGAAAUUUAAUUCGUGGACUUGAACUUGGAGUUGAUGUUGUAUUUUUGUUGAUUUGAUGCGAUGCGGUUCAAUCUCUAGAAUUUGAUCAUCUGAUUCUCUCUCAACUGUAUGUCUACGCUUGAUUUGGAGGAAGCGGAGCACAUGAUGUUCUUGAAGUUUGUUGAACGUCUACGCUUGAUUUGGAGAAGCGGAGCACGUGAUGUUCUUGAAGUUUGUUGAACGUCUACGCUUGAUUUGGAGAAGCGGAGCACGUGAUGUUCUUCAAGUUGGUUGAAUGCUUACGUUUGAUUUGAGGAAGCGGAGCACGUGAUGUUCUUGAAGUUGGAGUCUUGGAAGAAAGUUUGUAUUUUCAAAACAGCUUCAAUCUUCGAGGGUGGUCAACUUCAGAAGUUAGGGAGUCUUCUAGCUCUUGGAAGAAUUCUCUUUGGAUCUUCUAGAGUCGAGAAUUCCUCUAUUUAUAGAGUUCACUGGUGGGCUUUAUGGGUUUGAACCUGGUUGGUCCAUGGACCAGACCCAUGGGCUCAACCAUAUGGACUUAGGUUAUAUUUAGUCUUUGGGCUCAAUUAAGCUUAUUUUUUUUUGCUUAAUUGAACUAAAAUGAUUAACUUAAUCUAACGAUUAAUAUGAAAACAUGUGGCAUUAUUAGAAUGACCAAUUUAUUUAUUUUAAGUCUUUAAUUUGGAGCAUGUGUCAAUUUUAAUUAGUCCCAAAUUUAAUUAUUUGUACUUUUCAUCAUUAACUUAAUAAAUGAUGUGGCAACCUGUGAUUGGUCUCAAAAUUUCUUAUUAAACAGUAUGAUAUACACAUCUCAUUUUUAAAAUGAUUCUUAUAAAGAAAAAGAAUUGACAAAUUAUUUAUACUUUAAAACAAAACCUCUAUAUACAAAAUAUUUUGACAAUUUCUAUUUUAAAAAAAUGUUCAAUAUAGAAAGUAUUCAAGUGUAAGACUUAGUAAUUAGAGGUUGUAUGAUUGUGAUUUGUAAAUUUUAAUUUUAAAUUAAAAAAAUUUACGUAAAUUAAUAUUAAACUCGUGUAAUCUACUUAUACAUGAAUUAAGGUGGAUUAUCAUUUCAAUCUUUUCAUAUUGAUGUUGUUUUAUAAUGUAUUAUAAUAUGCAUAUUUAAAAUGUUAUUUUGAUUUGAACUACAAUUACUCUUUUUUAUUUAUAUAUUUAUUUAAUCUAACUUAUUUGAUAUUUUUUUUUCUAGACAAUAGUUAUCAAUCAAUUAAAAUUUAAGAAUAGGCAUGAGAAACUAAAUUAAUGUGUGGAACGAUAAACUUGAGAUUAAUAAAGAUACUAAGUUCUAAAGAAAGUUAAAAUCUAACCUAUUAUAGAAUCAAAUAAGAUCAAUUGAAAAUUUGUUUCACCAAAUAGCCUAAAAUGUUAAAAUUGCUCCAUGCAAAUGUACAUGAUCUAAAACCAAGUUUAAGGUUCAAACUAUAUUAAUCGGAAAAACAUCACAUAAUAAAAAUAAUGAUAGUAAUAAAAAAUUGAGAUGAUUUGAUGAUAAUAAAGAUAUAUGGAUUCACUUUUGAUAAUUGGGUUUGCACAUAUGCUUGUUGGGAUUGGAUAUAUAUUGGUUCAAGGUAACAAUGAUUAAUGUUUAUAAUUAGUUACAAGAUCAUUAAAAUAUGGAAGUUAAGUAUGUGUAUUUGAUUUAUCAAUUAUAUAUAUAAAAUCAAAAAUUAAAUAAUUACUUAAAUGAAUGUUUCAAAAAAUAAAAGUAACCCAAGCUAAGUCCUAAGUUAUAUAUUGGGGAAUUGUUAUAUGGAUAUAACACUAUUAAUAUAUUUGUUAUACUAAUUAAUUAUUUGAUAAUUUAAAAUUAGAAAAUGAAGAUUUUUCUAUGUUAAACAUUAAUUUAAUUUUUUUUUAUAAAUAUUAAUUUCUACAAAUAAUUAAUUCGAAUGUUAAUAAGCAAUAAUACAAUUUUAUAUUAGAUGAUUAAGAUAAUAUAAAAUAAUAAUUAUAAACUUAUUAGUUAACUUAAGAAAGUUGAUGAUAUAUGGGUUAUCUCAUUUAUUUAGGUAAAUAUAAAUAAAAAAAUAUUAAUAAUAACGUUUAUAACUUAAUUUGAGAAUAUAAAUCAUUUAAUUAUUAAUUGAAACAAAUUUUAUAAAUUUGAUGACUUUCACGAAUAUUCAUGGAUAUCAAACUUAGAGACUUUAUUCUUUGUUUAUAUAUUAUAUAUUAUUUUAUUAUUUAAAUAUUAUAUUUCUACAGUUUCUAUAUUUUCGAUUGUGCUCGUUUUCACAGGAGUACUUGGUUUAUUGAACUAAUAAUAAUGCACCUAGUUUUCAUAUUCUCUUUUUCUAAAAUAAAUAAAUUACUAAAGUAAAAGCACAAUUUGAUAAUAGUGGGGAGCAAUUUGACUAUGUCUAAGUAUCACUACAAGAAAAUGAGGAUCUACUCACACACAAAAGCGUUGGAAAAAAUAGAAAAAUUGUCAAGAAACUAUUUUUUGACGCAUAAAUUGGCGUCGAGAAAAUUAAGUAGGAAGAGGAUAUCGCGACGCACGAGAUAUAGCAUCGGGAUAUCCUAUAUUUUUUCUUUAAAAAAAAUCUUCUCAUCAUCUUCUUCAACUUCCUCCUCUUUUGUAGCCUUGUUGUCCCUAAGAUAAAACAACAUUGGUCUUCAAUUGAUUUUGCACUAAAAACAACAGAAUUCACAAUCACUAGAAAACGACACUAUGUUGCUCGGUAUCAAAAGAACAAUUUUAUUUUCUUCUUAAUAUGUGAGAAAAUACAAAAGCGUAUCUACUUUUGCCUAUCUUAUUCCUUCCACUAAAACUUGGGUGCCGUAAGGACUCAAACCCAUAAAUGAAUCAAUGGGUAUGUGAAGGAACUUCCACACUGCAAAUUAAUGAAUUUGUGGGAAUGCAACGUGGAAAGAAAAUGAUAAUAUAUUUUCCUUUCACAAAUAUUUCAUCCAUUUUCUUUCUAUCCCUGGUGAAAAUAAUUUAUGAAAGGAAGUCGAAUUAAAAUGAAAAAUAAUUUAAAUUUACAAAAUAUAGUUAUGAACAAAUUAUAUGUGGAGAAAUUACAAGUGAACAAGGAUAUAUAUGAGAGAAAUUGAAGAGAUAGGUAAAUAAAUUAAAGGGUAUAGUGAAUGAGUCGAUUUUAUUACCCUUUAUAUUAUAAGUUCCAUUUUUGCUAACAUUAAGUUUAUAGAAUGAUGGGUACUGAUAAAAAAAGAUGGAAGAAUGUGUUGUAAAUGUAAUGGAGAAGAAAUUUGGGCCAAAAGACUUAUAAGAUUGGAACAAAGUAGGAAAGUGUGAUUGGAUAUAGAGAAAACGUAGGAAAUUGUAAUUCAUCAAAAAUAGUAUGGAUAUCUUUCCUCUAACAUAACCAUUUCUGGAAUCGUCUUUGGAUUUUGGUCAUUCAAGUCAAACCAUUACUGACAUUUUCUUAACAUAACAUACGAUUCAAUGGUUAAUGCUUUGAAGUUUUCAUAUGAUUUAGAAUUAAUGCUAUGGAAUUUUCCAUACACUUUCCUAAUUUGCUGCUUAAUUACAAGAUAUUAAUACGAUUACUAUGAUAACUUAUGUGCUUAAAUAACAUUUAAUACUAUUGAUUUUUUAGAAGUAUAUAUUCAUUUUUUACAAGAUAAACAUGUUAUACAUUCUUCCAACCACGUACUAUCAAUCAAAUAAUUAAUGCCUCGUUUUCUUUUUUCAAAUAUAAAUUAUUGUUUGAAUUCUCAAAACUGUUUCUUUAUCCUUUCAAAGAGAAAAAAAAAAGUAAUUUAUUUAUAGCAGGAGAAUUGGGUAUUGAAAAGACAGAAGCCUGCCUCUCUCAAUUCAGCAUAUAUUCUUUGUGGGUUUAACACAUUUGAAUAUUCUGACUAUUUUACAAACUUCAUUAACUUUACUUAUCCACGACGCCUAGAUUGAACCAUUUUUAUUUUUUUAAAAAAAACUUAAGAAACUAAAACUCUUCCCCCAUAAUAAAUAUAUGUAAUAACCAGCAUAAGUGCUUUUUAAUUUCAAUAUAUGGGUAUGAUUUACGAAUCUUGUCACAUCAAGAGAGCUGUAGAUAUAUAAUGCCUUGUCAAUGGUUUUUCUAAAAGCAAAAUUAUUAUUUCAAAACAAAAUUCAAAUAUUAUUAUACAGAAAGACACAAAAAAUAUAUAAAUUAAUCAUAAACUUCAAUUUUAAUUAUGAAAAAAACUAUUGUUCUCCUGGUUUAUUGAAUGAAUAUUUAAAUUUGGAUGCAUAGAAAGUUAUUUUCAUUUGUUUAUAAGGAUGAUGGAAGUAUUGGAGAGUGGCUUGGGAUGUUUGAGAGGAAAGGUUAAAAAGAGACUCUUCGGAGUUGGAACGGUCACUUUCGCUGUCACCGUCAUAUACCCAAUUGCCAAUACCACCUCUUUAAUUCAACCUCUACUUUCUCGCCACGUCUCGUUGUCCUUUUUCGUCUCUAAGACCCAUGAAUACUAUACUAUACUAUACUAUACUAUACUAUACUCCCAGUAGCAACCAUCUACUAUUCUAUCUGAUCUUUUUUCUAUAAUAUAUCUGAUCUUUUAUAUUACUAUAUUCUAUGUUGUUUUACUUAUUCCAAUCAUCCACGUUUUGUUGCUCAUCUUUUAUCUAUAUAAGCUUACCAUUUAUUAUUAAGCUCCAGGUACAAAAAAUAAUAAUAAUAAAACCAUUCUCAUCAUUUUGAAUGUCUUAUCUAUCAAGUUGUGUUGAUGUAACAAUAUUUAAUCUUUAAUAUGUAUAUAUAUAGUUAAGUUGUAUAAACGUUUUUGUACAUGUUUUCUUAAAAAAACAUUUAUAUGUAUUGAAGUAUAAGUGGCUAUGUUGUUCAAAUUUUUGUAAUAAAAAAAAAAUCUCCACUUAUUAUAUAAUUAACAAAUGAUUAAUUAGGAAAUAUAAUAGAGUGAACCAUCAAUUGCCUAAAAAAUUUAGGCUUCUCAAUAAUUCAUGGUUGAAAAAGAUACUGAUAGAUCGUAAAUCACAAACAUAGAAAGAAAUUGAAAAUAAAAAAUAAAUUACACAUAUUUUUUUGCUUAUUUUCUAAGGAAAUAGUAGAUAGAAACUAACCACUUACAACUCACUGGUAGGAAUAUAGAACACCCACAAAAAUCCUUUGACCUUAUAAACUAGAAAAACAAAUUAACAAUUUAUUUGUAUGCAUCCACCAUAAGUUAUGUAUUUCAUAUAAGACAAACUAAGACUAAUUAAAAGCUUGAAUAAUAAUAUAUGUUGAAUGAGAUCUUAUGAUUAUGGAUUUAGAUAAUCUCUCUCAAACUUUAAAAUCUAGGCUAUUAAACCACCAAUUCAUCCAAAAGCUUAAGCUUGUGGUUGAAGGCAAAUUUAAUUAUAUAUCACCAACACUCCCCCUCACUUGUGGGCUUGAAAUAUCUGAAAGGCCCAACAAGUGGAAAUUGAUUUUAAUUGGGGAGGAAACGACAAUACAGGGGCUUGAACACAGGACCUCCCUGGACCACCUGCUCUGAUACCAUAUUAAACCACCAAUUCAUCCAAAAGCUUAAGCUUUUGGGUGAAUCGGUGAUUUAAUAUGGUAUCAGAGCUAUAGGGUUUUAGUCUCCUUGUAUUCUAGCCGUCACAUCCCCGCUCGUCUGCCUCCGUUGAUUCGUCGACGGAGGCAGAGCCAUACCCAUCAGUAAUCAAUACACAUCAUGUCUCCAAGUAAUUCGCUCUGCCUCCUAGAUCAAAAUCCUCGUCUCUGAUUCUGCUGCCGCCGCCACUACUCCUUCUGCCAUCACUGCUCCUUCCAUCCACCCAGUUCGUCGCACUCUCGACCCAGUUCGUCGCACUCUCGACCCAUAUCCGCUCUCCAUUCGUCCUCACUUAGAUCUACUUGUGCGCACAUUGCAAGCACCGAUUUGUUCGUGCAUCUCUGUUCGUGUCUUCGACUUCCAGAUCCGUGUUUUAUUUCAUCUUUCGCCUUCGAAUCAUACUGUUCAAGAUCAGACCGACCUGCCGCCGCCGCCCUUUACUCGUACCAGACAAUCUCUUUAGAUUGAAGACUCCCGAUCCUGAAGAGGGUGAAUCUUUGUUCAGAUCCAUGAUCCACCGCUCCGCUCCACUCACAGCCGACGACGCACAGGUUCGGCUUUGUCCGCUCUCCAUUUGUGAAGCUCGCCGUCAUGAAACGCAUCUUCUCUUUUUGCGAAGAACGCCGCAAAGUUCUCUAUCUACUCAACCUCUCAGUUCUCUUCAGUUUUCGUUCUGUUCAUCCAGAUUUCCUGUUCAGUUUGAUUCUGACUUGCUUUAGUUUAGUUCGUUCAGUUCCAUUCUGAUGACGAAACGCUCCUGCCCAAUUCAGACCACGUUUUCAUCCUGAUUUGAUUCUACUUUGCUUCAGUUUUGCUCUUUCAUUUUGCCCCCGGAGUUCUUGUUUCGUUCUUCCUAGGUUCUGUUAUAGAUCUCUAUACGAGGAUCUAUGUUUCUAUCCCAGAAGUUCUUCGUUUCGCUCUUCGUGGGUUUGUUUUAGCCUAGAAGUUCUUUUUGUGUGUUUGUUCUUCGGGUUUUUUAUUCUAUUCUAGAUAUAUUGUUUCUUUUCUUAGUUCUUAGCAAACUCAAGUUUGUGAUUUCAACCUUGAGUUUGAGGGAGGGUAUUAAUAUAAUUAGAUUAUUCUUAGGAGAUAUUAUUCUUAGGAGAUAUUAUUCUUAGGAGAUAUUAUUCUGGAGAUAUUAUUUGAUAUUAUUUCCUUAAGUGUAUUUCUCUAUGGUUAUAUAUAGGCUUGUAUCUCUAUUAAGUAAUUAAUGAAAUAUAGAUUAAUUCCAUAAAAUCAACAUAG